CAUCAGCAACAACAUUAGCUUUACCGGGGUGGUAAAGUAUCUCGCAGUCGUAGUCUUUAAGUAAUUCUAGCCAGCGUCGUUGCCUCAUAUUCAAUUCUUUCUGAUUAAAGAGGUAUUGGAGACUCUUAUGAUCAGUGAAAAGUUUGCACUUCGUGCCAUAGAGGUAAUGCCUCCAUAUUUUCAGAGCGAAAACUACCGCUGCCAACUCCAAAUCAUGAGUCGGGUAAUUCUUUUCAUGCUCUUUCAGCUGUCGAGACGCAUAUGCUAUCACCUUUUCUCUUUGGGUCAAAACACAACCCAAUCCAACACCAGACGCAUCGCUAUAAACAGCGAAGUCUUCAACUCCAUCGGGUAGAGAAAGUAUCGGUGCCUCGCAUAGCUUCUUCUUUAACUUCUCGAAUGCUUCUUUAUGCUUCUCACUCCAAGCAUAAGUAGCUCCUUUGUGGGUCAAAGCUGUUAAUGGAGUAGCAAUCGAAGAAAAGCCUUGGAUAAACCUUCGGUAAUAUCCGGCUAAUCCUAAAAAGCUUCGAAUCUCCGUGGGACUUUUCGGUUGUUCCCACUUCGUCACAGCUUCGAUCUUCGCUGGAUCAACCAUUAUCCCUUCUUGGUUGACCACGUGACCCAAGAAUUGGACCUCACGAAUCCAAAAAUCACAUUUGGAGAACUUCGCAUAAAGCUUCUCCUUCUUCAAAACUUCUAACACUUCUCGCAAGUGUCUGCCAUGCUCCUCCUGGCUUUUCGAGUAGAUCAGAAUGUCGUCUAUGAACACUAUCACGGAUUUAUCAAGGAAAGGAUUACAAACCCUAUUCAUCAAAUCCAUGAACGCUGCUGGAGCAUUGGUUAGUCCAAACGACAUAACCAAGAACUCGUAGUGUCCAUAUCUAGUUCUGAAUGCAGUCUUCUCGAUAUCUUGCUCUCUUACUUUCAGCUGAUGAUAUCCUGACCUAAGAUCGAUCUUCGAGAAAUAGCUCGAACCUUGCAAUUGAUCAAACAGGUCAUCAAUCCUCGGCAACGGAUAUCUAUUCUUUAUUGUUGCCUUGUUCAGCUCUCUGUAAUCGAUGCACAUUCUCAUACUUCCAUCUUUCUUCUUUACAAAUAACACCGGAGCUCCCCAGGGCGAUGAACUAGGUCUAAUGAAACCUUUGUCCAAUAACUCCUGAAGUUGCAUCAUCAGCUCCUUCAUCUCCGUCGGUGCUAAUCGAUAAGGUGCUUUUGCUAUUGGCGUGGUUCCUGGUAACAAGUCUAUUCUGAACUCCACUUGUCUAUCAGGUGGUAAUCCAGGAAGAUCCUCGGGAAAUACUUCCGGAUAAUCACACACCACUGGAAUGCUCUGCAUCACCUUCUUUUCUUUCUUAGCAUCAAUCACGAAUGCUAAAUAUGAUGUACAUCCCUUGGUCAAACACUUUCUGGCUUUCAUUAGAGAAAUGAUUCCAGAAUUCACUCUGCGUUUGUCCCCAUACACCAUAAACGAAUCUUUCCCAGGCGGGUUUACUUUAACUAUCUUCUUCUUGCACAAAAUUUCGGCAUCAUUGGCGCUAAGCCAAUCCAUUCCCAAGACGAUGUCGAAACCAUUUAGUUCGAUAGGCAAUAAUUCCUCGAGAAACUUAUUCCCAUUAAGGUCGAUCAAGACGUUUUUCAUACGAUGGCUAACAGGUACAAACUUGCCACUAGCUACUUCGACUAAUAAAGCAUUAUCUAGUCUAUCAACAGGCAAAGCUAGCUUUCUACCAAACUCAUGCGAAAUAAAGGAGUAGUUGGCUCCAGAAUCAAACAAUAUAUGAGCAGGUAAUUCGUUUACGAGAAAGGUACCUGAAGCGACAUCAGCUUCAUCUUUCGCAGCCUCAAGUGUCAUCUGGAAGGCUCUCGCCUUCGGCUUUGGUGGAAUGUUGGGCCUAGCUGCCUCCUUCUUCUUCGGACAGUCUUUCAAAAUAUGCCCCUCUUCAUUACACCCAAAACACAUCCUUUUGUUGUUCGGACAUUCAUUGGCAAAAUGUCCAACCUUUCCACACUUGUAGCAGGUCACAUCCUCGCUACAUUUCCCAAAGUGCUUUUUCUUACACUUAUCACACCACUUUGCUUCGCCUCCUUUUCCUCCAAACUUUUUCGAAUCAGAUUUCGAAAAUUUGCUCUUCUUACUGGAACCAGAUGUUCCUUCAAACUUCCUUUUCUCACCAACCUCAACCUUGACGGUGGUUCUCCCCUUGAUCAUGUUCUCCACAGACUUGGCAGCCCAGAUAGCUGCCUCUAGAGUAAGUGCCUGACGUACCGGCACCUCGUACUCCCAUGGAAGUCCCUUCGCAUACCGAUCCACCUUUGUCAGCUCGUCUGGAACGAUACGCAAGGCAAACUCCAUCUUAUCGGUGAAGUUAUUGGUGUACUCAUCCACUGACAUGCUACCCUUCGUCAAUGUCAAAAACUUGUUCUCCAACUCCAACAGAUUUUGAGCCGAGCAGAACUUGCGCUUGAACUGCACCAAGAACUCUGCCCAUGACAAUUGCAGUGGCUCAUUAGGGCUUAAGGUCUUCCCUAGAGUGUUCCACCAACGAACGGCUCCACCUCGGAAUUGUCGCACGGCAUAGAUAGUCUGCAACUUGCCUCUACAGCCACAUGUCAUAAAGGCUAACUCCAUUUCGGAGAUCCAAUCCAUAACCCCAAUCGGAUCCUCCUUUCCAUUGAAGGUCGAUGGUUUACAAGUCAAAAAGUCCUUGUACUUGCAUCCCAUUCCAUCAUUCCUUCCAUCAUGGUUAUCUUGCCUAACUAUCGGUGGGUUGGCUGGACCAACAGACCCACUGAAGUUUCCACCUUCCGAGUGCCCUUCAUUCAGUUCAGGCUCUUCCACACGAAUCGACAGUUCUUCACGAUUUUGUUGAAGCAACCGUCUAGUUUCAUCCAUCUGACGAUCCAACAUCGUCUGAAUCAUCAAUUGCACACCAGCCAUGGUUAUUGGCUCAGGUGCUGCUGCUACGACAGGUAUUGGCUCAAUCACUGGUGGUUGAUUCCUGUUUUCGUCAGCAUUUCCAACUCCACUUCUUGUUCUCACCAUUUUGAUCUACACCGAAUAAGGUGAAAUUAGAUCCUCAAUCAUGAUAGAUAUUCAAAUCAUCCUUAUCACUCCGAAACGUUUACAUGCUAGUUCUAAUAUCGUAGACGUACGCUUAGAAUCCUACACACAUAAGGUUUCUAGAUCCGGUCGGCAACAGACCAUAGAUCCGAACAAAUAAUAUCAUAUAUGGCAACAUAUAACAUUUAGCACAUAAAGCAUUUUAGGCAACUUUCCUAAAAUAAACUAGUGCUCGUGUCUAAAUCACAACAGACACACAUCUCAAAACUUCACUUAGCAUUCUAAGUUUAAGUCUAGAAAUCCUACAAAUUCCUAGUUCGCUUAAACUAAUGCUCUGAUACCAACUGUGACAUCCCCAAAAUCUCGGCCAGAAAAGACCGAUUUUCAUUUAUGCUUUUAAAUAUUUUCAGAGUAAAUCCUUUUGAUUUGAAAGAGUUGCGGAAUUUGUUCCCAAAAACAAAACAUGAUAAAACAUUGUUUACCGAAGCAUUUCAUAAAAGAAAUGUAUUUUCAUUAUAAUCAAAACUCGGGGUGUCAUGUUCCGAUACAGACCAAUAAGCAUAAACGAAUACAUUACAAGUCAUAUAACAAAUAUAAACAUAUGCAGACUUGUAAACAAAACAACUUGAUGGUUCAUCCAUCUCAUGCCCUUCCGCCACUACCUGUAAUACAAUUUAAAACUGAGUGGGUCAGGCUUGGGAGCCUGGUGAGCAUAUAGGGUUUUCAACCCACAAUAAAUAUCAUAUUUAAUUUUCACCAACCAACAAUAACCCAAUUACCCAUUCCCGUUAUUCUCACUUUAAUGUCCCUAAAACAACUAACAUAAGGGACCUAGUCUAAGAAUAUUUCAUCGGGGCGACAACACAUGCUUCGGGGGUACCUCAGCAAUAUAAGUCAAAUAAGGCAACCAUGAGGGGGAUGGAGUACAGCGAAUGAACACCCAAGUUCAUUAACACCUACAGGUGGCGAACCUGCUAAUGUUUCCACAAGACUGUCUAGAAUAGCCAGUGGUCGUCAUCUAAACUCCGCUAGAUGACUCAAUCAAACAACAACGAGGCCUCUCAUCUGUUUAUUACACACCAACUGUCUACCCAUGUUCUACCCAACAUAUUAGUAGAUAAAAAUAUACAUUUGUAUACAUAGUUUAAAGAAAACCUGUAUAGCAUGCUUUAAUCAACACAUAUAUCACAUAACAGAUGAGGCACACACACACAUAACACAUAUCUCAUAAAGAAAUAAGCAGAUCUAUAAGAUAGAAGAGAGUGAAUACUCAUUCACACAUAACACAACCAAAUAUAUACACAUAGCACGUAUUUUUAUAUAAAAUACUUCGUAUUAUUGUAUUAGAAGAAAUAACUACACACUCACUUGAUCAGAAGACGAUCCGACAGCACUACGGCUUAUAGAAGUAGUAAUCCACAGCAGAUCUGGAAGAUCUCCUCGAAAAUCGAACUUCUCGCGGGCAGAGCUUCGACUCGGGAACCGCGCUUCUCGGGAUCUUCGGGAUCUCGGGACUUGCCUCGGGGCUAGAGUAUGAUACCGGGGCUUCGGGGUAGCUUCGGCACGAAAAACGAUGCAAAAGACUAGAGAGAAGAGAAGAAAAUGAACAAGAAAUGAGGCUGCCUUCGGAUCCUUUAUAUAGAGGCUGGAGCCUCGGAGUACGCGGGGCGUACAGGCGUACGCAGCGCGUACGCGUCCGAAAUCGUCACUGCAUGCGUCAUCCGAAGUGUCGACACUAUGCGGAGUACGCGAUAGCGUACUCACGUACGCGGGGCGUACCUUGGAUCAGACGGGUGACUCGGCUUCGGAUAAUGCCUCCGAUUUUGAUUUAAAAAUAAAUACAAAAUGAUUAAUAAACUUCGGAAAUUCAUAACUUCUUCAUACGAACUCCGUUUUCGACGUUCUUUAUAUCCACGGAAAGGUGAGACCAUGCUCUACGACUUUCGUUUAGACUCCGUCGGCUAAUUUUGACUUUAUUUUUAUUAAUUAUUUUUAAUAGGCCGCGACAGAAACUUUCGUUAUAAAUUCAUAACUUCUUCGUUUGAUGUCCGUUCUCGCCUAACUUUUUAUCGCUUCGAUACCAACAAUGAGAUCUUCGAUUCUCAUUUAGAUUGCUUCGGCUAACAACCGCUCGAUCUCAAUUCGAGUAUUUCAGGCUGUAUACCGCUAAGCCGGAACUUCGAUAAAUCAUAACUUCCUCAUACGAAGUCAGAUUUGGGCGUUCUAUAUAUAUUCGGAAACCUCAUUUCGACUACUACAACAUUAACCAAAGAUAUUAAGUUUAUUUCACUCUUAAAUUUUGACGCUUAUUUUUAUUCUUAAUUAAUCAGACCACAUAAUUAAGCAAUUAAGCACAAAACACAUAAUACUCAAAUAAUACAAUCUUAUUAUUUCAAAACGGGUUACAAAGGUUAACCUAGACUAUUAUAUUGCUAAAUAUGGCAAGCCCGGAAACACAGGCGUUACAGAUACAAAUAAAUUGAGUGGGUCAGGUUGAGAAAUAUGGUGAGUACAUAAGGUUUUCAACCCAUAAUAAUAAAUUUAUUAUGUUUCAUCAUCAAACAAUUAACCCGAUUACUCAUCCCCAUUAUCUUCUUUAUUCUUAAGUAUCUUCCCUAAGAAUCAUAUAUUCCUCAAUAUUUAUUUCUAAGGAUUGUCCUAAGGAAUAGGCAUGAAGUCCAUCCUUGUCAGGGAUUAUAUAACAGCACUAAGUCCAUAGUUGUCGAUGUUAUUUGUUAGGCACUAAGUCCAUAGCUGUCAGGGUUUAUCUCUUUUAUUAACACUAUUAUUUUUGGGAGUCCACCCACAAUACAUGUCAAUGGGUUUUAGAGUACAUCUGAUGAACAUAUCGUUCACAACACAUACAGGUUGCGACUCUGCUAGUGUUCCAUUGGACUAUCUAGAAUAGUUUGUGGUUGUCAUUUAUACUCUGCUAGAUGACUGAGUCAUCGCUUGGGUCAUCACUUGGGGCAUCAUUUCUCAUCAUCUUUCACAUCUCAUCAUCUUUCAUCUCUCAUCAUUCAUCAUUCAUCUUAUCUUUCAUCUCUCAUCUCAUCUCAUCUUUAAUCUACCCAUCUUUAUCCAUCAUAAUUAUAAGUAUAAAAUACAUAUAAAGUUUAAUUCAAAUAAAGCAUGUAUAUUUUGUCCAUCCAGUAUAGAUAUCAAGAACACAGAUAAUAUGUACACAUAGCACGUAGUUUAAAUACUUCAUAUCUAUGUGUAAGUUCAAAUUAACUAUGCACUCACUUGUUAAAGUGAUGAAUCCAAACUCGGGCAUCGCUUCGCUUCUAACAAUUCUAUUUUCCUUCGACGAAACCCAGUAUCAUUACCGCUAGAUUUUAGUCUAAUAUUUAUAGCGACUAUUUAUGAGCGAUAUUGUUUUAUAAGUGUUAAACAAUACUUUUCAACCACUAUGUACAGACAAUGAUCAGACAUGAGACACCUGAGUGCAGGAUCAUCUUGGCAUUAUAGCACUUCUGAAAUCCAACAACCCUAUGCGGCNUAUAUGUUAUAAUAUAUAUAUAUAUAUAUAUAUAUAUAUAUAUAUAUAUAUAUAGUUUAUAAGUUUAUAAUAACGAUAUUGAACUUAAACAUAAGCUAUACCUAAAGUAGGGUAAACAUAACUUACUUAUACGAGGGUUUGGCUAGGAACCGGGCUCUACGAGGGCAACUUCCGAACCGAAAUCUCUUCUUCUCGGAGCCUUCUGGCACUCCGGGACUUGCCUCUAGCACUCGGGAAGUGCUAGGGAAUGGGAGGAGUUAAGAGGGGUGUUUGAGAGAGAAAGAAUGGGAAAGGUGUGAGUUUUGGGGGUGAUUUGUGCCUCUAUUUAUUGCCUGAGUCCGAUUCGAACGCAGGGCGUUCCAUUGCAGAACGUUGGGCGUUCGUGGCCAGGUGUCAUCAUUUGGUGCCAAGCCGUGGUGAGGAAGCAAUGGCUCAGAUCGCGUCACAUGUCGCUCGCUAGUUACUCCAAAAACUAAUUAUAUUCUAAAGUUUGUUGUUUUUGCAUACGAGCUCCGUUUUCGACGUUCUUUAUAUCCACACGUAGGUAUCGACGGGAUAUACAACAUUCGUUUAGACUCUACCGGCUAAUUUUGAAUUUAUUUUUAAAGUUAUAUUUUAAAAAGACGUAGACAGUUAAAAUCCGUUAAAAAUUCAUUACUUUUUUAUCUGGCGUCCGUUUUCGACUGUCUUUAUAUCGUUGAGUUCCUAUUAAUGAGAUCUUCAAUUCUCAUUUAGGUUGUGUAGGCUAAAAAUCGAUCGAUCUAAAAUUCGAUUUUCGGGUUGUGCAAUGCUAUGUUAAAUCUUAGUGUAACGACCCAAAAUACGACCCAAAAAUUUUGUUUAAUCAUUACUAAAAUCAUUAUAUCAAUACCAUAAAGUAAAACCCAUACAUCAAUAUCUCAAAACCAUAACAAAGUAUCACGAGAAAACUGUAUCAAAUCAUAUCUAUGAAAAGCUAAAUCAACUCCCAGGACAAAACUGAAGUUGUGGUGUGUGCGAUGUCAUCAUCCCGAGCUCUUCCCUUUACUUACGGAAGUGCCUGAAACCAAAACUGAAACUGUAAGCACGAAGCUUAGUGAGCUCCCCCAAACUACCACAUACCAUACAAUAACAUAAUAAGCACAUAUUGGGCCUUACCCACUGUAUCGGACCGAAGUCCGGCUAACUGCAUCGGGACGAAGCACGGACUAACUGGGGCCUUGCCCCCUGCAUCGGACCGAUGUCCGGGAACUGCAUCGGGCCGAAGCCCGGACUAACUGGGGCCUUGCCCCCUACAUCGGACCGAAGUCCGGCUAACUGCAUCGGGCCGAAGCCCGGACUAAUUAGGGCCUUGCCCCUGCACCGGACCGAAGUCCGGCUAAUUGCAUCGGGCCGAAGCCCGGACUAACUGAACAUAACAUAUCAUAAAUAUAUCAACUAGCAUGAUCACAUAUACUGCAUACUGUAUCGAACCGAAGUUCGGAACACAUAACACAAAAACAUGCUUGAAUCACAAAGACAUCAAGUACACUGAACUACUGCAUCGGACCGAGGUCCGGAAACUACUGAUAACUAGACGGGUCGUCAUUGUGGCCGUAGACCCGUUCCUACUGGAAGGAAACUCACCUCGAAGAACCCACUGCUGAAAGCCUGAGUAAGAAAUCCCUGAAUGUUGUUUCGACUGCUCCUUGGCUAUCAUGACCAAUUAAAACACUAAAUCAGAAUAAGGAUCCUUCCAUGGGUAAAAUGACUAUUUUACCCCCUGCUAUGGUGUGGGUCAUAACCAAGGCCCAAACCCUUUAAUUCUUCUAAGUCCAUCAAUGGCCCACUAAUGGCCCGAUUCUCUAAAUUGGGCCUAACUCCUCAUAAGGGCCCUACUUAAGCCCAAAAAUGUCCCUGACCCAUAAUCUAAUUGACUUUUGAUGGCCCACUAUAGCUCACAGGCCCAAAAUCCACAACACAGCCUACAUCGAGGCCCAAUAUGUACAAAGCCCAACUCUGCUGAGUACGUUGGGCGUACUCCAUUGUACGCUAAGCGUACCGGCCUGCUAGUGAGUACGCGGGGCGUACCUUCACUUAUGCUCGGCGUAACCAUCCUGUUAAGACACUUUUCCAUUAAGUGCUUAAUACCCCACUCCAAAGGCUACUAACUCAGAUCCAGGUCCUUACUGAUGUCUUAGUCCAUAAAGUCACUAACUUAGUGCCUUGCAAUCCACCAAAUAUACUCAAACUCAAAAAAGGUAACCAUACAUUUCUAAAACCAAGGCUAGAUCUCAUGCAUGAGCUCAUUGGGACCAUAAAAAUCGAGACUUUACUGCUUAUGGGGAACUUUUAGCUCUAAGGAUGGCAAUCCCAAGCUUGAAGGCGAAGUUACAUCUUAAAGGUCCAACCUUUGGACCUAAAAAGAUCCCAAAAGCUCCCUAGAUCUAGAUCUAAGCUUCUAAGAGGAAAGUUAGAAUCUUUAUACCUUCAGGAGCUUGUAACUGAGCUAAAGAACUUGGAUCCAAAGGUUCUUCCUUGAUCAACGAGACCUCAAGAUGGUCACUCCACUCCAAAAUCACCAAAAUGCACACAAAAUGGCCUUACAAUCUCCAAGAACACUCUAGAGAGUUUAGGGUUUCGUGGUGGCUGAGUGAGAAUGAGAGGGAGGUUGAAAACCAGGGUAUCAUGUUCUUUAUAUAGCGACUUACCCUGAAAAUUAGGGUUUUGAGACUCUGAGAGUACGUUGGGCGUACUUCUCAUACGUUGGGCGUACGUCUACCCGGACCCAUGAUCACUUGCUCUUCUACGUUGGACGUACACCAGCCUUACGCUAUGCGUACCCAACUAAACGUGUGUGCACUACAUGCAUGCAAAGGGGGCUGCCUUGCCAACUUUUCCAUUAAGGGGCCAUCAUUGUCUACAUCUUCAAAGUGUUGUAACUUCUUUAUUCUUGAUCCGUUUUCGACAAACUUUAUAUCCACAAAAAGGUGACGAGAAACCCUACGUUUCUAACAACCCACCCUGGCCCGAAAACUUUUCGAAUAAUACCUCCAAAUUUAAUAAAGGACUGAAACGCCCCUGGCCUUGGCCUUUGAAAUUCCAUAAAUGAAUAUUUUAGAACAUGGCGUUACACUUAGAAAAACCAUAACUUCCUUAAACGAAGUCAGAUUUGGACGUUCUUCUUUUUUUGUAUGCUUUCGGUUUAACAUACACUACGCCUUUUGUUUAGAUCACUAUGGCUAAAAAGUAAUUUAUCAAAAAUUCACUUUUUACGUGCCGGUUUGGCCGUAAAAUUUCGACGGGUCAUAACUUCUUCGUUAUAACUCGAAUUUCAGCGUUCUUUAUAUGUACAGAAGAACCCUUGUGACAUAUACUAUAACUUGGUUAAGAUUACUUAUUCAAAAUAAUCCUCUAUCAAAAUGUCAUUUUUGACGCUUAUUGUCUCUAAAUUAACUAGCUCGAAUCUACAGGCGUUACAAUUACCUCCCCUUAGGAUGAUUACGUCUCGGAAUCAUCAACAAAACAGUGCUUGUAUAAUGACUCCAUACGUUAUCUUUUCAUCUUAGGUAAUAACCAUAACUCAUAUGUCCCUUCGAAUGAGUAUCUAACUCUUGGACUUCUUGAUCGUAGGAGGUGCUCGAUCUUGCACCCGCUCUUUAUCUUAUGUUGGACUUUCAAUUGUAACCUUCAAAUUACAAAAUUGAUCAUUAUUGGAGACUCUUACUUCUUCCUAAAUUAAGAUAAGUUCUUUACUUCGACUAUCAUAACAGACUGAUGGGUCAUGUUCUAAUGACCUCUCAUCAUAUGACGCAACGCUUAGACUCAGGUCUUUUAGAGUCAAGUUCCAGAGUGGAAUAUACCUUUCCUCAUUCUCUAAUGUGAUAUAAUCACAUUCUAGGCUGUAGCACUUCUAGCUACAAGCUUUUUUACUUUAACAGUGAUCGCGUUACUUCUAUUGAUCGCUUUGACUAUCUUUCACUUCAAUCGUCUGGCUUAAGUAUCGACUUUGGUUCUCUGAACCAAGUAACAUACUCAUCUUAGUUAGACUCGAUUUGAUAUGACCACUAGGUUCAGAUUAACAAUCAUCUUCUUAGUCAUUACUGAAACGAUGGUAACAACAUACAUGAAUAAAAUGGAAUCAAUUAUUAGCGUCUUGGUAACCUUGUGACUUUCCCUGAUCCAGGUGUGAGUAUUGUGCUUCCGGUAGUAUAGGCCUCUACUACCAUUCAUACCUACUUAUACUCAUCCCAUGUAUUGUCUCACAGUUUUCCAAGUCACCAUACAAUAAUUUCACAUAGUCAUUGAACACAUCAGAUAAUAGAACCAAGCUUUAUAUUAUUUCUUGAAACGAUUACCUAAAUGUUCAACUUCAACCUAUACUAUGCCUCUAAUAGGAUAUUAUUGGGUUUUAAGCACUAUAACACUCCUAUGGUGCACAUGCAACCCUAGAUGCUUCGGAUUUAUGUUUUCUCAAAUUAUACAUGCAUUUUUAAUUUUCCAAAGCAUACAUCCUAACUAGCAUAUAAUAGAGGAUAUACAACAAAAAAAACCAGGUUAGAUGAAUACCUCUUGAUGUAGUUUGUAGUUUUGGCCUUUCAAGAGCUUAACACCUCAAGUGUGAUGCCUCAAAUGGUUCACAAACACCAUGAACAAAGGAGGACUCUAAGAGAGAGGUUUAGACACUCCAAAAUCGAUUUCUCUCUUCCUAGAAUCUUAGGUGUCGAUUUUAGCUAAGGAGUAACAUNNNNNNNNNNNNNNNNNNNNNNNNNNNNNNNNNNNNNNNNNNNNNNNNNNNNNNNNNNNNNNNNNNNNNNNNNNNNNNNNNNNNNNNNNNNNNNNNNNNNNNNNNNNNNNNNNNNNNNNNNNNNNNNNNNNNNNNNNNNNNNNNNNNNNNNNNNNNNNNNNNNNNUAUAUAUAUAUAUAAAUAAUAUGAUUUCAUAUUAAUAUAUUAUACUUGUAAUAUAUUAAUAAAUCAUAAAUACCCUCUUUCUCAAAUGUCCAUCCUCUCAGAUUAUUCUAGUGAAGGCAACCCAAAUGGAUCAUGCUACUAUCGGGUCGAGUACAUACCAAUUAUAGUUAUGGUCUUAGACACUAAAUCUAAUAGUCUCCCACUUGGAUAAGUCAAAUAACUAUUAUUCCAAGUACGACUCCAAAAGUCCGACUAGCAAUCGUAGCUCUCAAAAGCCGUUGUCGAACUCUGACCUAGUCAAAUGACGUGUCCAUUAGAUAAGGGAUCAUAUAUUCUUCCAUUCUAGAUAUCGUAUGAAACGAGACAUGGAUUAUAAUUAUUCUCUCUGUUCAUGUGUUGUUUCCCAAUUUCCGAUUUAUGAUGACCGACUAAUUAAACAAAUCAAAACAGUCCAGGCUUGGCCAAGCAUGUAGGGUUGUCAUCACUAAAUCAUCGAAGGGCCUAAAAAUAUUGCUUUUAUCCCGCUUUGGGUAAAAGGAAUAGAUAAACUUCGACUCAAAUGAUCACUUUUACUUACUCAUCAAAUCACACACAACAAUAUGUUUUAUAACACCAAGUUACUGGUGCGUUUACAUAUGUCAAUGUGCAACCGACUUGCAAACUACAACACACAUGUCUUAGUUUCAAGAAUAUAAGAUAUUAUCGUCUCACAAUCACUCAUGAUUAAAUCCAUGAAGUGAUUCAGAUGAGCGUGAGUUUAAUCCAAUACUCGAAUCGUAUUCCAGAAGUACUCAUGAACACUACAACAAACUUGUGUUAUGUCCAAACGUCUUUUGACAAUCUAUAGACCCAGUCAUGACAGUCUAACUUCAAUACCUACUUCCAAAGUAUGAUCAACCGUGGAUAGUUUGAAUAACCUAGUUAUUCGGGAAGUCAAAGCAUGCAAAGUGAAACACAAUAAUAAUCGAAUCCAAUAUGGUCUCAAAACUUUUGAAUAUAAAUAAAACACCUUUUACUUAAUCAUCAUAUUGAUUACACAUUAUUCAUUGUAUAAUAUUUCGAUUGAUCAACUUAAUACUUGAAUUAAAACAAUAGUCAUCCCAUGCUCCAAGCAUGCACACUAUGUUUUACCUAUGGUCCUUACUUUGUGAAACAGAUCAAUUGUAAACAUUUCCAAUGAUACUCAUUUCACAAUUCCAAAUCCUUAUCGUAAGUGUGACAAUACCAAGUUCUUGCCACUUACUGUAAUCUGUUUGAUUCUAAGCUUAUAUGCAACAUUAUAUCAUAUAAUGAAAUAAAGUUAUGAAGUAACAUAUGACAUCAUAUUAGAAUAACACGAAUAUCAACUUAUGAAACAUCAGAUUAUUAAACUUUUCCUCAAUAUCCAAAUAAUUAGCAAAGUAGCAAUAACAUCUAAGAUUAUGUUAUAAUUCAGACACCUAUAACAUUUUAGAAAAUUCUAAAAUUAAUAGCUAAACUUAUAUCAUAAACUCUAAAGAAAUCAUAAACAAUUAGACUUCAAUGUUAUAAAACACUAUAUCAUAUAAUAAAAUAAAGUUAUGAACUGGCAUAUGAAAUCAUAUCAGAAUACCUAAAAUAUCAACUUAUGAAACAUCAAUUUAUUAAACAUUUUUCUAGAAUAUUCAACUAAUAAGCAAAAUAGCAAUAACAUAUCAGAUUAAAUUAUAGUCCAAACACUAGUAACAUCUUAGAAAAUCUAAAAAAAAAUUAUAUGAUGUUAUAAAUUGAUUGUUAAAUGUAGCUAGAGUACAAAUUUUCAUAAAAAAUGCUUCAUAAAUCAUAAUCGUUGAAUAAUCAGAAUCGAAAUCAAGGAUAACUCAAGAGCAUGUAGAAUACAAAUGCUUGAAUUGUUGUUGAUUUAUAAAUCAGAAUAACUAGUACGUAAAUUAGAAUAAUUUUAUUAUCAAGUUAUAGUUGAAAUAUAGAAAAAAUCAAUACAUGUUUUGUGAAUUGGAGAACGAUCAGGUGUAUAAUCCGAAUAUGAAUCUAUAGAAUGAAGCAUUUCUAUGACCGGUUUAGUGUUUAUCGUGAUGAAAUCUGAAACAAAUUAUAAUCACGAAAAACGUGUCGAUUCAAAAAUAGAUGAAAGUUGAGCUUGGUGAUUCUAUUUUCUAGGGUUUUAAAUUUUUACAACAACACAUAAUAGCAAAUAUAACAUAUAUAAUCUUAUAUUAAAACACACAUUUCAAUUCAUAGACUAACAAGACACCAUGUAAUAAUAUUUCAGAAUAUAUAGAAUAUUUUACUAGAACAUACAUUAUAAUAAUUAGAGUAGUUAAAAUAUAGCAUACUAACAAUCAAGAAUAUAUCAAAUAAAUAUCAAUCCAAAAUAUACAUAGUAUUUAACUAAAACAUACAUUAUACUUCAUAUAAGAAUUAGAAUAUCACAUAAAAACAUUCCAGAAUAUAUAGACUUUAGUGGAAUUAUAAAAGUUCAUGUUUUGCAAAGUGGAGGCUCAUCAUGUAUAUAAUCAGAAUCUCAUUGUGUAGAAUGAGCCAUUUUUGUGAUCAUUUUAGUGUUUUCUUGUGAUGAAUAUGAAACAAACUAACUUAAAUCUACUACAAACAUCAAAUAUUAGUAACAUUUUAAAGCUUUACGACAUACAAGAGAUUCAAUUAAAUAUCAAAUCAAAAAAUUAAACUGAUAAUCCAUUGAUUAAUAUAAAUCAAAAUCAUAUACAAAUCAGAAACAUAUAAGAAUAUUUGGAAUACUAACAUAUCAACCUAUAUUAUACAAAUUUAGUACCACGUCAUGUCAUUAAUCAAAAAAUCUACUUCUAAAAUCAAAUCUGUAAUUCAUCAAAUAAGCAAAUCAAAUAUUAUUAAGACAUUACAAGGAGAUAAAACCUAAUUUAUCAAUUAUUGAAACCAAAAAUACCUCCCAUAGAUGUAAUUUCCUCAUGUUCUGGAUCUUUUAAGUCAUCAGCGGAAGCUUUUUGUAUGAAAACUUAGAUCUGAAGCCUUUGAUUGAGAAUCAACUACUUCUGACGAAUCAUCACACAAACCAAAGCUAGAAUUAGAAUCAAUUUUAGCAGAACGAGCCACUAUCGAUGCUCGAUUAGAAAAAAAAACUUCAAAUUGGUGUACCUGAGCUUUGAUUUGGUUGAAUGAAAUUGUAGUUUUUUGUAACGCCCGUAGAUCAGGGCUAGUCAAUUUAGAGACGAUAAGCAUCAAAAAUGACUUUUUGAUGGAAGAUUAUUUAAAAGGAUUAAUCUUAACCAAGUUUUAGUAUAUGUCACAAGGUUUCCGUGCAUAUAAAGAACGCCAAAAUCCGAGUUAUAACGAAGAAGUUAUGACUUGUCGAAGUUUCGCGACAGAACCGGCAUGACCCAGCGCGACCCAGCGCGAUGUAAAUAGUGAAAUUAAGGUAGAUAGAUAUUUAUCCUUAGUGAUAUAAACAAGAGAUGAAGAUUUAUUCGAUAGUAGUCCAACGAUAAAAAGACAGACGAAAACGGAGUUCAGAUGAAGGAGUUAUGAAUUUCGAACGGAGUUUUCCUGUCCUGACCUACUAAAGAUAAUAUAUAACUAAUAUACUUAUAAUAUAUUAAAAAUAAAGUCAAAAUUAGCCAAUGGAGUCUAAACGAGAGUUGUAGAUCAUAAUNCGAGAGUUGUAGAGCAUAAUCUCACCUUCGCGUCGAUAUAAAGAACGUCGAAAACGAAGUUCGUAUGCGAAAGUUAUGAAUUUCUGAAGUUCGAGGCGCGAAACCCCAAAACUGUCAGAGCCCACGACGUGGAACAAGGUUGCCACGACGUGGCAAGUGUCCUGACACCUCCGGGAGGCCCCCAGAUGCAACUUGGGAUGACGCAUGCAGUGACGACCAAGCCCACGACGUGGAACAAGGUUGCCACGACGUGGCAAGGGCCAAAUUUGCCCUAUAAAUAGAUUUGAAGGGCCAGCCGUUUAGGGUUGCUAUUUUCUCUCUUCUCUCUCCCGUUUUGCAUCGAUUUGCGUGCCAGAAAUACCCCGAAGCCCCGGUAUUAUUCUCUAGCCCCGAGGCAAGUCCCGAGAUCCCGAAGAUCCCGAGAAGUGCGGUUCCCGAGCCGAAGCUCUGCCCGCGAGAAGUUCGAUUUUUGUGGAGAUCUUCCAGAUCUGCUGUGGAUUACUACUUCUGCAAGUUGUAGUGCUGUCCGAUCAUCUUCUGAUCAAGUGAGUGUAUACUACCUUUCAUAAACACGAUAAUAAUACAAGUAUGGUUUGAGUGUAUUAAGUAUAUUGUUGUUUAUAUGUGUGAGUGUGUAGUUACUUUCUUCUAACACAUAAAUAUGAAGUAUUUGCUAUGAAAUACGUGCUAUGUGUUUAUAUGUUAUUUGUCUAUUUGAGAUGGGCAUGGAAUUUGGAGUUUUAUACAGGUGUUAAAUGAUUUAAACUGUGUAAGUAUUUAUAUCUACAAAAUUGUUGGGUAGAACAUGGGUAGAUGGGAUAGUUGGUGACUAUGGAGUUAGCGCCUGCUGUUAGAUAAACCUUGGUGACUAUGGAGUUAGCGCCUAUUGUAUAAACCUUGGCGACGAUGUGACUUCGUGCCUAUUUGAUGAACCUUGGCGACUAUGGAGUUAGCGCUUGUUGAGUAAACCUUGGCGACUAUGGAGUUAGCGCUUGUUAAGUGAACCUUGGUGACUAUGGAGUUAGCACCUAUUGAGUAAACCUUGGUGACGAUGUGACUUCGUGCCUGUUAAGUGAACCUUGGUGACUAUGGAGUUAGCGCCGCUUGAGUAAACCCCGACGACUAUGGAGUUAGCGUCUGAUAACUAUGAAUUUAGUACCUGAUCUAUAAACUUUGGCAGCAAUGGACUUCGUGCCAAUUCCUUAGGUAAAUCCUUAGGAAUGAAUGAAUGAAGGAUAGUGGAUUCUUAGGGUAAAACCUUAAAAAGAUAAUGGGGAUGGGUAUUUGGGUUGAUUGUUUGAUAAUUGAAUAUAAUAAAUGUAUUAUUGUGGGUUGAAAACCCUAUAUGCUCACCAGGCUCCCAAGCCUGACCCACUCAGUUUUCUUUUCAUUACAGGUAAUGACACAAGAGUAUAAGUCGGCGGACUUGACGAGAGAUUUUGGAUUAUAGAUCAGUAGUUGAAUAACUAUUGUAAGGUCUAUUUUAUAUUGUUUAUGCUUUUGGUCUGUAACGAACAUGACAUCUCGAGGUUUUAUUAUUUAAUGAAAAUACAUUCUUUUCGAGAAAUGUUUUGAUAAAAUGGUUAUCAUAUUUUAUUUUGGGAACAAAUUCCGUAACCGUUUUCUUUAAACGAUCACUCUGAUUUAUAAAACAAAGCAUAAACAAAUCGGUCUUUUCUGGCCGAGAAAUUGGGGAUGUCACAUUUUUAGAAUAAGAAUCAGAAUCAAUUUCUUCGUGUUUUUCUUGAGAGAUUGGAAACAAAGUUUAAUCAUAAACGAACUUUGAAUCGAUGAAAGCAAAAUGUAAUCACGAUUCAAUAUCAGAAUAUGAAUAAGAACGUUAAAAUCAAAAUGAUAGUGAAUCAUAAUCAAUUUUUAGGGAUUUAUCGAGAAGAAAUUAGAAUAUUUUAACUCAAAAUCACUCACAAAUAUAUAACAAGAAGAAAUUAUAGUAUUAUACAUCACAAGGAUUAACUCUAGAUGCAAAAUUUGAAUCUGAUUCUGAAUAACCCAUUUGUUGUAAAACCAAGCUUCGAAUUUGUUUGAUUCAGGAAUGUUGAUGCUCGGGAACUUAAUUUGAUUUUAGAAUCAAAAUAACAAUGUUGAAAAUCCGAAUAAGAACGAAGCAGAAGAUGUUGAUGAUCGAGAUAAAAUAAGACGAAUUUUGGUGUUCGUAUCGAGGUUACUUAGGGUUUUGUCGAUCAGAAUGAAGAAGAUUGAAGAGGAUUCAUAAAGUGUUUUUGCGACCUGAAUGAAAUUGAAAGUAAAAUCUCCUUAUUGCCCCUCCGCUCCCUUAUUCUAAUCUUGAAGUUUCAUUUAAUUGCAAAAAUGUGUUGGUGAUUUUAGUGUCACCAUGUAAUUUUAAGUAACUAGAACUAACAUGUGAGCUAAAGGGCUUCAUAAUUUGUACUCUAAUAAUACGUACGGGGUUGCGCGGAGUGCAUGCAUAUAUAAGAUCGAAUUAGAAGCCGGUUCGACGACUAGUCGGGGUUCCGGGGGCAGCGCCCCUAGGUCCGGGGUUUCCAAAGGGACAACGCCCCUAGCGCGGUCCAAGGGGUAGAACCCCUGGUUGGGAUCCUGCUGAGGUCCAAGCUAGGAUGAUUAUGGUAAAACUAACGAAACUCAUUAGUUUUGGUAACCCUAAAUACUCAUUAAAUUCGGAUGAUCACGACUUGCUUCUAAAGCAACUAAUGACGGCCCAACCCUAAUGAAACCCUAAUCUUGUUUAAUAUAUAAAUGACUCUUCCUCAUCAGAAGGGGGUUACGAUCUUAAGCUCUCGUUUUUCAUCAUACUUUCACAGAAUCCUCUAGCAUAUUGGCUUACAAUUUAUGUGCCAAGAAACGUAAGUGUCCAUUUGGAAUAUCCUAGGUUGAAUUUAUUGUAACCCAAUCAUAGGGUAGAAAUAUCAGUUCAUAAAGUGAUAUCACGAUCCAAGUUGGUAUCCAGAUCUUCACCAUAAACCCUAAAUUUCCUUACAAUCGAACUGAUAUUUUCUGUUUCUGGAGAUGGGUGACUCAAUCCGCGAGAUGACCACUAAGUUUGCCAAGUUGGAGAAGUUUGAAGGUGUUAACUUCAGGUGUUGGAAGAAAAAGAUGCACUUCAUGUUGACCACUCUGAAAGCAGCAUACGUGCUGACUACUCCAAGCAGAGCCUGUGGAAGGUGUUGCAGAGACGGUUGAAGAGACAAAAAGGAGACAGAAGUGGGAUAAUGAUGACUACAUCUGCAAAGGUCACAUUCUGAACGGUAUGUCUGAUGCUUUAUUUGAUAUCCAUAGUGAAGCCUUGUACGCCAAGGAGUUGUGGGACACCCUUGAACUGAAAUACAUUAUUGGGGAUGCUUCUAGCAAGAAGUUUAUGGUCAGUGACCUUAAUACUUAUAAGAUGGAAGAUUCAAGUUUUGUCGCAAAACAAUACAAUGAACUCCUUGGCAUAUACGGUCAGUUUUAAACUGCACUGUAUGAAUAUGGAUGAAUGCAUUGUUGUGUCCACUAUCAUUGACAAAUUGCCUCUGUCUGGGAAAGACUUCAAACAUAACUUGAAACAUCAAAAGGAGGAACUGUCAUUUGUUCAACUUGCUAGUCACAUUCGUAUUGAAGAAUCUCUUCGUGCGAAGGAAAGUGACAAAUCUGAAAAACCCAAAGGAAAAGUUGAACCUGGACAACCCUCGAUUCAUAUGGUUGAAAACAAACCAAGGAACCAGUACCACAAAGGACAUGGCAAACGUAAGCAGGAACAUGUCCCAAGCAACUCCAAAAAAAAAAGGAUCUGGUUUGUUGGAGUUGCAAUCAAGUUGGGCAUUGCAAGCGUGAUUGUCGUGCGAAUUUGGGCAACAAUGGUGUUGGAAACACUGGAGCCAAUGGGAAAGUGAAUGGGUCUUCGGCUCAAGUUAAUGGAGGUCAAUUUUUGACUAACUUUGAUAAAUCUAAUCAGAAUUAUGUUUAUUAUGUUUCAUUUAUCCAUGAAUCAUUCUAUGUGCAGGACGAUGAUGUUGCUUGGUGGAUCGCCUCCGGAGCAACAAACCAUGUAUGCAAGGAUAAACAUAUGUUUGAAACAUUAACUCCGCUUGAAGAUGGAUCGGUGCUGAAAAUGGGAGACGUCUCUUUAUUCCUAUUUGUGGUUUAGGUGUCGUGUGUCUUGAGUUUACUUCUGGAAAGACAAUUAGGUUAUUUGAUGUUUUGUUUGUUCCAAGGAUUCGCAAGAAUCUUGUUAGCUCUAGUUGCUUGAAUUUUGAUGGUUUUAAACAAGUUAUUGAGUCGGAUAAGUUUGUUUUGUCUAAAGGUGGAAUGUUUGUUGGUUUUGGAUAUUUAAAUAACAGAAUGUUUCGUUUAAAUAUUGUUGACAAAUUAUUACCUGUUCAAAAUUUUGCAUUUGUAUCUUCUGCUUCUAAUGUUGAUAAAUCUAUGCUUUGGCAUGUAAGAUUAGGUCAUGUCAACUUUAGAAGGAUGCAUGAGAUGUCAAAAGAUGGAUUAAUUCCAGCCUUUGAUAUGACAUCUAAUAAAUGUAAAACAUGCAUGCUUACAAAAGUGACAAAACAGCCCUUUCCUAGUGUCACUAGAAAUUCAGUUGUUUUGGAACUUGUACACAGUGACUUAUGUGAUUUUCACUCCACUCCUUCUUUGGGAAAUAAAAAGUAUGUGGUCACUUUUAUUGAUGACUGCACUCGGUUUUGAUAUGUGUAUUUGUUGCACUCUAAGGAUGAAGCCUUAGAUAAAUUCAAAAUAUACAAAACCGAGAUGGAAUUGCAAUUAGGCAUUCCAGUUAAAUGUCUCAAGACUGAUAGGGGAGGUGAAUAUAUGGAUCCCAUAUACUUCCAAUCAGUGGGUAUCAUCUAUGAGACCACGACACCUUACACACCCCAACAUAAUGGUAUUGCUGAACGCAAAAAUCGAGUUUUAAAGGAAUUGGUAAACUCGAUGUUAUCAUACUCGGGAUUGAGUGAAAGAUUCUAGGGAGAGGCCAUGUUAACGGCCUGCUAUUUAUUAAAUAGGGUUCCAAGUAAAAGGAACAAAGCAGUCCCAUAUGAACUUUGGUUCAAGAAAAAGCUAAAUUUGAGUUAUUUUCGGGUUUGGGGAUGUCGGGCAGUUGUAAAACUUCCCAAGCCCAAAAAGAAAAAUUUGGGAGAAUGUGGAAUUGAUUGCGUAUUCAUUGGAUAUGCUGAACAUUCCAAGACAAAUAGGUUUUAUGUAAUAGAACCUAAUGAUUCGGUUUCAAUUAACACUGUUAUCGAAUCGCGGGAUGCAAUUUUUGAUGAGAGGAGGUUUUCAUCAAUUUAAAGGUCCAAGGAUCUGACUUUUGGUGCUAAGAAAGAGCAAAAUUUAGAAAUUCAAGAUGGUGGUAUCAUGCAAGAACCACAAGAUCUUCGUAGAAGCAAAAGAGGCCAAAUUGCAAAAAAUUUCGGAUCCGACUUCCAACUGUACUUGGUGAAGGUUCAAGGGAUGAAAUUAAUUUUGAAUACUCUUAUUUCUAUAGUAUUAAAGAUGAUCCUAAGACUUAUCAAGAGGCCAUCGAGUCUCAUGAUAGUGCCUUUUGGAAGGAAACAAUUGAUGAUGAAAUGUCAUCAAUUCUUGAGAGCUACACAUGGGUGUUGUUUGAUUUGCCUAUGGGUUCUAAACCUCUUGGUUGCAAAUGGAUUUUCAAAAAGAAAUGAAUGUUAAUGGGACUAUUGACAAAUUCAAAGCCCAGUUGGUCAUUCAAGGUUUUAGACAAAAACCUGGUAUUAACUAUUUUGAUACGUAUGCUCCAGUUGCACAUAUUUCUACUAUUAGAUUGUUGUUUGCCUUGGCAAGUAUCCAAAAUCUGGUUAUUCACCAAAUGGAUGUGAAAACAGCCUUUUUUAAAUGGUGAUCUUGACGAGGAAGUUUACAUGAAACUACCGGAAGGUUUCAUUAUGUCCGGUAAAGAGCAUAUGGUUUGUAAACCUGUCAAAUCUUUGUAUGGGCUAAAACAAGCGCCUAAACAAUGGCAUCAAAAAUUUGAUGAGGUGAUUUUGUCUUUUGGUUUCAAGACAAACCAAUGUGACAAAUGUGUUUAUAGUAGAUUUGAUGAUGCUACUAGAGCUGGAGUGAUUAUUUGCUUAUAUGUAUAUGACAUGUUGAUUUUUGGUACUGACCAAAAUCAAGUGGAUGAAACAAAGAAAUUGUUAUCAUCCAAGUUUUCCAUGAAAGAUUUAGGAGAGGCUGAUGUAAUUCUUGGAAUAAGAAUUAAGAGGAUGAAAAAAGGAUUGGUAAUGACUCAAAUUCAUUAUAUUAAGAAAAUUCUCAAGCGGUUUAAUUUUACCGAUUGUUCUCUUGUGAGUACUCCUAUGGACCCAAGUGUGAAAUUAAUGCCAAAUAAUGGCGUUCCCAUUUCACAAUUGGAAUACUCUAAGGCUAUUGGUAGCUUGAUGUAUGUCAUGACACGUACCAGACCUGAUAUUUCUUUUGUUGUGGGUAAGUUGAGCAGGUACACUAGCAAUCCUAGUGCUCAACAUUGGCAAGCAGUGAAUAGAGGGUUUAAGUAUCUCAAGAGAACCAUGAAUUAUGGUUUGAGUUACUUGGGGAGUCCUAUGGUUUUAGAAGGUCAUUCAGAUGCAAGUUGGAUAACUAACAUGGAGGACCAUUCCUCAACUUCUGUUUGGGUAUUCUUGCUUGGGGGAGGUGCCAUUUCCUGGGCUUCCGAGAAGCAAUCUUGCAUUACAAACUCGACAUUAGAAUCUGAGUUUGUUGCGUUAGCAGCUGCUGGUAAAGAAGCAGAGUGGCUAAGGAAUUUAGUCUAUGAGAUUCCUUUGUGGUCUAAACCGAUAGCACCUAUUUCUAUCCUUUGUGAUCGUGUUGCCGCUUUGGCUAAGGCAUAUAGUCAGGUUUAUAAUGGCAAGUCUAGACACCUAGGUGUUAAACAUAGUAUGAUUAGAGAAUUAAUCAUGAAUGGUGUGAUUUCGGUUGAGUUUGUGAAAUCUCAACAACAAUAUUUGGCAGAUCACUUGACUAAAGGUCUGACAAGAGACUUAGUGCACAAGUCUGAAAUCGGGAUGGAAUUAAAGUCCAUUUAAUUCUAUAAUGAUGAGACACCCAAUUCCCUCCUAAUAUAAUGUUAGGAGUUGAAUUCAAUAUGGAAAGCUCAUACUUAUAAAUUGGAACACAUGAAGUAUUCAUCCCAGGUAUGUGUUCGGUUUUGCAAGUUAGCCAAGUUGAAGUUUAACUUCUUAAUAAUUCCUUUGAUAAAUGUAUGUGCAGAUAUGUGGAAAGGAGUUACCUAUGUGAUUGUGAAGUGUAGCUGCAUUUCAAGAGGUUGUGGACUUGACCUUGAUACGAUCAUGAGAGGAUUAGGACACACGACUUUAUAAUAGUUCCAAGUAGUAUUAUGCUAGAAAUUCAACAAACUAGUAUGUAUUUUUCUUUCUGGUAUUCAAAUGGGUUGAUGGGUUCAAUUCUUAGAAAACCCUGAUUCUUGAGUAUUUGCAAAUGUAUGAUACUAAGUGGAAAGUCAAUCGUUUCACUAUUUUCAUUAUGUACUAGUUUGGUUUGUUUGAUAAGGUUAUGUUUAUUCAAGGGUUACACUAAAAUGGGGAGGAUUGUUGGUGAUUUUAGUGUCACCAUGUCAUUUUAAGUAAUUGAAACUAACAUGUGAGCUAAGGGGCUUCAUAAUUUGUACUCUAAUAUAUGUACGAGGUUGUGCGGAGUGCACGCUUGUAUAAAAUCGAAUUAGAAGUCGGUUCGACGACUAGUCAGGGGUCCGGGGCAGCGCCCCUGGGGUUUCCAAAGGGGCAGCGCCCCACUGGGGUCCAAGGGUGAUUAUGGUAAAACUAACGAAACUCGUUAGUUUUGGUAACCCUGAAUCCUCAUUAAAUCUGGAUGAUCAUGACUCGCUUCCAAAGCAACUAAUGACAGCCCAACCCGAAUGAAACUCUAAUCUCGUUUAAUGUAUAAACGACGCUUCCUCAUCAAAAGGGGGUUACGAUCUUAAGCUCUUGUUUUUCAUCAUACUUUCACAAAAUCCUCUAGCAUAUUGGCUUACGAUUUCUGUCCCUAGAAACGUAAGUGUCCACUUGGAUUAUCCUAGGCUGAAUUUCUUGUAAUUCAGGCAUAGGGUAGAAAUAUCAGUUCGAAAAGUGAUAUCACGAUCCAAGUUGGUAUCCAGAUCCCCACCAUAAACCCUAAAUUUCCUUACAAAAUGUCACCGCCUCCUUGUGCUUCCUUGUGGUGUAAUCUGAUUUAAUCCUAGCCUUACAUUAUUCAACAUGAGUGGUCAAGAAUUGUCUCACAAAAUACUAUUGUCUCAUAUGAACCUAUAUAUAUAUAUAUAUAUAUAUAUAUAUAUAUAUAUAUAUACACACANUAUAUAUAUAUAUAUAUAGGGUUAGGUUAUUUUGUUUUCACUAUCUAUUGUGUACAUAUAUGACUGGUUCUGGAUAAAUCAUUUUAGUUAUUUUAAGAAAGUAAUUAAUGUAAAUUACAUGUUGAAGAUAUAAUAGGUAUUACCUACAUCUUCAGUAUUUAAUAUGCAUUAAUUACUUUCUUAAAAUAACUAAAAUGAUUGAUCUAGAAUCAAUCAUACAGACACACAAUAGAUAGUGAAAUCAUUUGAACCUAACUCUCUCUAUAUAUAUAUAUAAGUUCGACAAGUUAGCUUCAAAAUUAAGACCAAUAAUGGGAUCGUCAGUGUAGUUAUUGAAAACAACUUGCAAUAAACCAAGGAUGGGAAAUUGCUAUUUUUUUAUCAUAUUUUUAUUAAAAAAUAUUAUAUAUCUAAACAAAAUAAAUAUUAAAGAUGAUAUUUUAUUGUGUAGUGGUAUAUUAUACAAUUAAUUAGGAUAAGUUACACGCAUUGAUUUAUUGGAAAAUGCAAAGGCCAAGUAUCAUCUCCUUGACAAUAUGACAUAAUAAAAUAAUGAGAGCGGAAUAAACUCAAUAUUGCCAAAACGGUUGAAAUGUUGUUUGUUAAUUUUCUUAGGGAUAAUGAUUUAGGAGGAUAAUAAGGUUUUCUGUUUGUCUAUAUUAGGUCUAACGUAUUUUUUGUGUGUAUUACAUAUUAAGGUUGUUAUAACCAUUUAAAAAUAAUCAUUUUUAUCUGUUUCUUCUUGUUAAAAUGAUUAUUUGUAAACGGUUAGAAUAACAUUAAUGGUGUAAUACGCACAAAAAAUAUGUAGGGAUCUAAAAUGAACAAACAGGAAACAUUAUUAUCCUCCUAAGAUUUUUAGUAUUUAUUAUUUUGAAUAUAUAUUUUUAAGAUUUUUAGUAUUUAUUUUUAUAUGUGUAUUUCAUAUAAAGUUGUUGAAAUUAAAAAGCAUAAAAAGUAGAAAGAUUUAGAUUGGAUUGGAUUAGAUUUUGUAACCACAUCAUCCAGUUAACCUCUAGCAAGGAGCUAGAGAGGAACAAAUUAAGGCCGGAUUGGAUUUUGUAAGAUAGAUGAAAACACAAGAAGGUUCAAAUGAAGUCAAUGCCCAUCUCGACUCUAAACAUGAUCAACAACUGAAAACUACAUCAACAAAUGUUUCACACUUUCUUAAGAAUUAUGACACACAGGACACAAUAAGGAAUCUAUCACCCCCCCCNAUCACCACCCCCUUUCCACCAGUUUAGCUCUUACCGGAAUGUGAUCCAAAAGCACACACCAUAAAAAAUGUUAAUUUUAAUGGGGACAAAACGAUUCCACCUAGUAGGCAUAUUACCCAUAGGAAGCGUCAUAUCAUUAACCCAAUUCCGUGCUGAUUUAACAGUAAAGAUACCCGACGAUUCAAACUCCCAAGACCACUUAUCCAACAUUUCCCCUAUGUGAAUAGGAUUUAAUAUCUCCACAAGAUAAUCAAAUUGGGUCGAUUCAGCCCCUCUUCUAAUCCCCCGACGCCAAUGAAAAUUACAUCCCCCCGAAUCCCUUUAUUCACUUACUCCAGCAUCUUGAUUAAAGGUCAAAACAAAGAGCCUCCCGAACCACUCCCUAAGAGAAAUAUCCAAGCACCAAACAUCCUUCUAGAACCUCGUUUGAGUCUCAUCCCCCACCAUUAUAUACAUGGAAUUAGAAGGAAUACAAUCAUUCUCAUGGAGAUGAUUAAUGGAUCCUACAAUCUUUUGCCAAACACCCCCUCCAGUCCUAUUCUCGAAUCGUUCGAAGAACCAUCACCUUCCCCAUGACAAUAUUUGACAAUUUUAACCCAAAGAACUCCUUUGUCAUUAAGAAAUUGUCACUUCCAUUUAUAAAGAAGGCCGAGGUUAAAAGCAUCCAAACUACAAACCCCAAGACCUACAAGUUUCUUAUUUAAAAAGUAAAAAUUUACUAUAGGGAUUUAUAGUUUCAUACGGGAAUAAUGACUUAAGAGGGUAAUAAUGUUUCCCGUUUGUCCAUAUUAGGUCCCUAACGUAUUUUUUGUGUGUAUUACACUAUUAAGGAUGUUAUAACUAUUUAAAAAUAAUCUCUUUUACCGGUUUCUUCAUGUUAAAAGGACUAUUUGUAAACGGUUAUAAUAACCUUAAUGGUGUAAUACGCACAAAAAAUAUGUUAGGGACCUAAAAUGGAUACACAGAAAACGUUAUUACCAUCCUAAGUCAUUAUCCCUUUUGUGAGUAAUAACAUCAUCGCGCUUCUUAAUAAAUAACUCAUAUGGAAUUCGUAUUUGCGAAAGAACAAAACUUUUUCUAGUUACAUAAAUAAUUAAUCUUUUAUAUAUUAGUAAAAGAUAUUAUUAAAAUAAACAUGUUAUUUUAAAAUAAAUACCGGUUUGUAAACACUUGACUAUACGAUUCAACUCAUUCGUUUAUAAAUAAUAAUAAUAUAGUUGCCGCAAAGUCGAUAAAAACUCAAAAGCUACAUGUAAAGGUUAGAAUAGAAAUGUUGACCAAGACCUUUUCAAUUCAAAGUUCAAACACACACCUACAGCAAGACAUUUUUUUGCCUUUUGGAGCCGUUGGAAAAUGAUAUAACUAAUCGGAGGUUUUAUCAUCUAUAAUCGAAUUCUGUAUAAAUAGACUUUUUAACAAGAUACACACCAAGCAAAGCCCCAAACCAUUAAGCACCUUUACUCCCACUACAAAUAAUCAUUUACAAUGUAAAUUACCAUUUUCCUAACACAAAUAGUUACUAAAAUGUAGGGAUAAGCUUCAAACCUGUAAACUCGGUCCAAAACCAAAACUAUAACCGGUACAUAUUAAACUAGUCCAUGUAUCGGGUAUCACUAUAUGUCUAAAACUGGUAAAAAGAAUCGGACCGGUAGUUUAAAGGUCACGUAUAAAAAACCAUACUCUCUUGUUGAAGAAAAUAAAAACAACCCCUAAAUAUACUAUUUGGAAAUAACAAUUGAAUGGAGAGAAUGACAAUUAUCAUAAUUAUCAUUGAUGAUUUACAUUGAUCAGUUUGUUUAAAUUGGAAGAAAGUCAUGUAAUUGAUGCGAACAUCGUUACAUCAUUAUUCAUCAUAUGAGUAUAUGAGCUUAAAUUUUUUGUUCAAACCUUAGAUUUUUUGGAAUUAAAGAUUAACUUAGACUUUGUUACAAACUUAACACGUUUGUCAUAUUCUCAUAAUAAUGACCAUAUAUCUUAGCUAAAUAUUCAAACUUCUAUAUCUAAAAUAGACUGAAGGCAGCUGGUAUUUGUUGAAUCGUAACCCCACACCAAUUCAUUUGAGUCUCCAUGUCCUAGUUAUGGAGUUAAUACUUAAUAGGCACAUGAUGUCAUUUAUAGUUCUAUUAAUAUUUUCAUGAUAAGUUAUUAAUAUUAUUUAUUAAUAUAUAAACUUGUUGUGGGGUUUAUUCAUUUAAGAGUUAUUGUCAUAAAAACCCUCAAUUUUACAUAAAGUAUACGGUUAUGUCCCGAGUCAGUUUUUUUGUGCAUAAAUGCCUCAAAUACUGGUAUAUUUGUUCAUUUUUGGCCCCCAGCUGGAUUUCACCUUCAAUGGCCGGUCACCCCCAAGCUGAUUGAAGGAAGUGUUGAGUAGGAUGUGAUGUGGUAGACACAUCAGCGUAGUUGACUUUAAAUGGAAAAACAAACGGGCGAAAAUGGGAGGAACCAGGUUUCGAAACGAGGUCUCCUUCCCACAAAAUCAAGCUCAGUACCAUUGGGCUAUGAGAAAUGUUUGAAAAACCUUUUGGAAUCAUUUUACUUAUUAUGUAAAAUGCCGGUUUUUCUUGUUGUUGUUGUUAUUAUUAUUAUAAUUAUUAUAAUUAUAAUUAUUAUUAUUAUUAUUAUUAUUAUUAUUAUAAUAAAAAUGUUAUAUACGUAAUUAUUAUUAUUAAUACUAUUAUAAAAACUUUAUAUAUGUUGUUAUUGUUAUUAUUAUUAUUAUUAUUAUUAUUAUUNNNNNNNNNNNNNNNNNNNNNNNNNNNNNNNNNNNNNNNNUAUAUAUAUAUAUAUAUAUAUAUAUAUAAAUACAUAUAUAUUUAUGCAUGUAUAAAUGCGUUUUUAUAAUUAUUAUUAUUAUAUAUAAAUACAAACUUUAUAUAUUUUAAUUAAAAAUACAUAUCAUAAUAUUAUUUAUUUUGUAUAAAAACAUACAUAAAAAUGUAUAAAACAUUAUCUAGACAUAUAAAAAUAUUUGUUAUGCAUAUAAAAAUGUAUAAAUACAUUUUUCUACAUAUUUAUUAAGUUUUUUUUAUAUAUUUGUAUGAAUAAAAAUAUGUUUUGUAUAAAAUAAACACAUAUACAUGUGUUAAACAUAUUUUUAUGCAAUUAAUUAUAUUUUUUUGUACAUAUAUUUUUAUAUGUAUAUAUACACUUAUUUUUAAAGAUUUAUAUAAAAUGUUAUUUAUACGUAUAUAAACUUUUCUCAUUCAUAUAAAAUCUAUUGAUAUGUAUAAAAACAUAUAUAAACAUAUAAAGUGUUAUUUAUACAUAUAAAAUUAUUUUUAAUGCACAUAAAUACAUAUAUAUAUACGUAUAAAAUAUAUAUAUAAAUUCAUAAAUUAAAAAUAAUAAUAAUAAUAAUAAUAAUAAUAAUAAUAAUAAUAAUAACAAUAAUACAUAUUUCUAAAAAUAAAAAUAUGAUUUAAAAUAUAUAAAUACAUUUUUUAUACGUUUAAAAAUAUAUUUUUAAAAUCAUAAAAAAAAUUAAAAAUCACAAAAAAUAUAAUAAUGAUAAUAAUAAUAAUAAUAAUAAUAAUAAUAAUAAUGCAUAUUAUUAAAUUGUUGCAGUGUGUUACACAUUAAAUACUUUAUGUUAGGCAAUAAUAAUCAAAAUUCAUCUCAGCCUAGUGGUUAAGAGCGUUGCAUUUGUUGUGGGAGGAGGCGUGGGUUUGAAUCCCUGCAAGCCCUUUUUGUGCGUUAAUUUUUUCUGAAAUAAGCAAUGCUGACGUGGGCUUGCCACGUCAGCUCCAAGUCAACAUCGUUUCCCAGUCAACAAAGGGGUAACUGGCCUUAGAAGGUAAAAGACGGUUAGGGGGCAAAACUGAACAUAUUUUCCGGUAGUUAAGGCAUUAAUGCACCAAAAAUUUAACUUUGGGCAUAACCGGUUUAUUUGUGUAAAAUUAUGGUCUUUUAUAGCAAAAACUCUUCAUUUAAUGAGGUUUUUAGGGUACUCAAGUUGUGAUUUCAUUGAAGGAAAUACCAGUACAUAUACGGGGGAAGAUCCGAUAGAUUAGAAUCUGUUAAAACAAAUAAGGAAAACUAAAAUUAUCUAUAUUUACAAUUGACUAAUAAAUAAAACAUAUGUAAAUAUGUGUAUAUGAUGGGUGCUAUGUGUUAAUAGUUUCUACAAUCAAAUAAAAGGGAAAACAGUCCAUUCAACACACUUAUACUUACACAUUUUCCUUUUAUAUUUUAUCCAUGUAAAAACUUGGUACUUAAUGUUGUCCGUCAUUUUUGUUGGAGAGACACGAAGACUCUUAAACAUUUUAUCACACUUGGCUUUCCAUAUCCACCAUAACGUUCCAUAACAUAUGUUGAUGAAGGUAUUUCUCAUUUUCUGGCAAUUGUUCCAAGUAGCCGCAAAAUUAGUAAUUUAUUAUAACGAGGAAAACUGGGGUGUGGAUAUAUCACACCAUCUAAGAAUCCAUUCCCAUACCGUUUUUGCAUAUGGACAGUGAAUGAUAAUAUGCUCAACCGCCUCCUCGUAGUUGUACACUAGAUCUCCAUUAAAUAUCCCCAUUUUUUUAGUUCAACUCAAGUUGGUAUUCAAUCUUGGUUUGCUUGCCAUAUAAAACAAAGUACCUUGAUGGGAAAGUUACGUGGAGGUAAGGACAAUUAUAUAAUUUGACAUUCUUACAACUACUUAUUACCCGUUUUUCCAACUUGAUUAUUCUUAACCUAUGUGAGAAAACAACAACAACAACAACAAUAAUAAUAAUAAUAAUAACUUUACCAUAUGGUGCGUGGGGGAUUUGACCAUUUCGCUGCACAUAGGGACACUAUACCGCCGGUGAGGUAUAGUCACAAUGAAGAACCGCACGAUUAAGAUAUACUACAUUUCUCUCCUCUCUUUCCUUCUCCAACGACUAUAAAUCUUUUGUUUUUUAUUUUUCUUAAAUGUCAAAUUUUUAAAUAUAUAUUUUUUUAACUAUUUACCACUCUAUAAAUACAAAACUAAUUUUUACCUUCAAUCUCACACUAUUCUCUUUUUUUUAUUUCUUUCAUUCAUUUUACAACAAAAUUGAUUCCAACAAUCUCAUUCCAAAAUCGAUCGAAGAAAAUCUUGUGCUUCUAGUUCAACUAGAAAAUAUUUUUCCUUUUCCACCACACCAACUAGAAAAAUAUGUUUCCUUUCGAUUCAUCGAUUUCUGUUUAUCAUCCCAAAUUAUACGCUCCUACUUAUUACCUCAUAUAAUUUCAAUAUCAAAAUGUUCAAUUCUCGAUCAUGUUUCGCCAAUGCAACCAAUCCAGUUGUUGUAUGUGAAGGAUUUUUGCAACUUUUGUAACUUUUGCAUUGAAGUUAUUCAUUAAAAUGAUCAUGUCGAGAUCGCUUCACGAAUUUGAAUUAUAAAAAAUGGUUAUUUCUUGAUAAAUGGUGAUUGGACUAAUAUCAAUAAUGUCCCAUGUUUUGGCACUAAAUUGAGAAAAGCCCUGUAUUUAAUUUUUCAUUUACUGUGACCACGAUAUUUUCAUGGAAUUAUCGUUUGAAAGAUUAUACCUGGUCACCAGCAGGUAACAUGUACCAUCCGUUCACCACUAAGUUAUUCCCUAUCCAUCACAUUUCACGAAGCAUCACUACUAAAGGUUUUCAUGCAUUCGAGAAGGGUUUCACAGUCCCCAAUUUCGCAAUUUGAAGCUCUGAAAUCGUUGGCUAAGUAAAGUGGAGUAGAAAGGUACGUGUAUGGAAACAAGAAAUUGAUGAUUAUGAGGGUGGUUAUCUUCGUCAAUAGAGUAUGGAGUUCCAAGUUUGGAUUAACAAGUUAUUAUUUUUUUUAUGAAACAAAUGGCUUAUACUUCUGGAACUAAGAAGCGUAAAGGGCCUAAGCUCCAUGAGAAGACAUACCUUCCAGAAUCUGAAUGCGAUGAUGAUGCAUUUGACUUUAGCUUCUUGGAUUUUUUUUGAAGAAACUUUCAAAGCCCCCUCAAAACUAUGUGAUGAUCAUUUUCUUAACUUAUUGUGUGACAAAAACAUAUUAAGGAGGAGUAUUGAUGGAAUGGUAGAUGAUGGAGACAUUCCUGGUGUCCGACAAAAUGAGCAUGCCCACUUAGAUGAGGACGAUGAAGAUGUUGGUGUGGAGUAUAGGGUGCAUGAUCCCAAUGUUAACUGGAAAGAAACGAGGCCCCGAUUAGGAUAUUGUAAUGAAUCCCCUGAUCAACUCAGGUUUGCUUUAACUAAUUAUGCAGUCCAUGGAAGGUACCAACUUUAUUUUGAAAAAAGUGAUAGAGUGACGGUAUAGCUAAGUGUGGUAGUGGAAGCAGUGAUAAUAAAAAAAAUGCAAUGUCCAUUUAGGGUUGCAGAUGGAUGGAAGUACAAUGAAAGGACAUUCUAGAUUAAGUUUUGUAAUGAAAUUCAUUUGUGUGCUAGGAAUUAUCAUUUUAGUUCCCUAGUUACUAGCAAUUGGUUAGCCAAACACUACCUGAAAGAUGUAAUCAUGAAGCCCAAGAUGACAUUGCUAGAGAUGCAAGCAUAUGUGCUACAAAGGUUUUCAGUGAGUGUAUCUGUUGGGCAAUGCCAAAGAGCAAGGCAACUGCAAUGAGGAUGAUAGAAGGGAAGUUAGAAGACCACUAUGCCAGGGUUUGGGACUAUGCAGCUGCAAUUAGGUUGAGUAAUCCGGGUACAAGUUGCUUGGUGGGGUUAGAAAGUAAUUCGGGGUGUAACUAUUUCAAAAAGUUUUAUGUUGGCUUCAAGGCUUUCAGAAAUGGAUGGAACAGAGAAUAUAGAAGGGUAAUAGGACUAUAUGGUAGUUUCUUAAAGGGGAAGGUUAAUGGGAUAUUUUAACUGCUAUUGGGAGGGAUGCAGACAACCAUGUCUACCCAAUAGCAUGGGCAGUUGUGAAUGUUGAGAAUAAGGACAAGUGGACCUGGUUCAUUGAGAAUUUGGUUGUUGAUUUGGAUCUUGGUUCUGGCAAUGGACUAGUUGUUAUCUAAGACCAAGACAAGGUACCACAACAUACACUAGUAUACCAUAUAUAUAUAUAUAUAUAUAUAUAUAUAUGUUACACUCAUUAAUAUUUACAUGUGCUAUGUUUGUUUGUUAAUUAUAGGGACUUCUACAGGAUGUGGCAGACCUACUCCCCCAUGUUGAGCAUAGACAAUGUGCUAGACACAUCUUUGCAAACUUUAGGAAGAAACACACAAGAUUAGAGCUAAAGAAUUUGUUUUGGGAGGCUGCUAUGAGCACAGUGGAAGGGGACUUUCUUGCUACAAUGGAUAAGAUACAGAAGAUUACAGAAAUAGGAUACAAUUAUCUUAUGGCAAGGAAACCUGAAACUUGGUGCAGAGCAUUCUUUUCUCAUGGAUAUGCUUAUGAAGCAGUAGAGAAUGGGGUGGAAGAAUGCUUCAAUGGCAUGCUCAAAGAAAUAAAGAAGAAGCCUCUACUCACAAUGGCAUGGUCAAGCAAAGGAGGAUGUGUCUCUAACCUGUGAUGAGGAUUUUGAUGAUCUUUUUACCCAUACACCUAAUGGUAAACAAUCUAUGAUUCAAGAAAAAGAGGAUAUUCAGGAACAAGAGAAUGGCAAUGAGGUGAAGGUGAAUGAAAGACAUACUUUAAAGGAGUUGUUGUUGUCUAGAUAUACACAUGUUGAUGCAGUGGCUGCUAUGAAAGAGGUAUGUGUUGUUACACUAUUUUUGGCUUCCAUAUUGUAGCUUUACUAACUAACCUGCCAUAUUGUAGGUUUAUGGAGAAGUUGAGGAAAAAGAGAUUAAAGAAAGAGAGGCUGAGGAAGAAGAAGUUGAAGAGAGAUAGAGAGAAAGAGAAUGAGAGAGAGAGAGAGAGAGGUUGAGGAAAAAAAAGAUUGAAAGCAAAAAGGCUGAGGAAGAAGAAGUUGAAGAGAGAUAGAGAGAAAGAGAAUGAGAGAGAGAGAGAGAGAGGGUGAGGAAAAUGAAGAUUGAAAGCAAAAAGGCUGAGGAAGAAGAAGUUGAAGAGAGAGAGAGAGAGAGAGGUUGAGGAAAAAAAGAUUGAAGGCAAAAAGGCUGAGGAAUAAGAAGUUGAAGAGAGAGAGAGAGAGAGAGAGAGAGAGAGGUUGAAGAACAAGAUAUUGAAGAAAGAGAGGUUGAAGAAGAAGAAGUUCAAGGCAGAGAGGUUGAGGAAGAAGAAGUUGAAGGCAGAGUGGUUGAGGAAAAAGGAGUGGAAGAGAGAGAGGUUGGAGCAAGAGUGAUACCCUUGGGUCAUGGUUCUUAUAAUUUCCAUUGGGAGAAAAAGAGAAAACCCUCUGAAAGAAUUAGGAACCUGAAGCUCAGGAAAAUGAUUGAAGAUGUUGAUGGUGGUGGUUCUUCCAAAACCCCUUGUGUUUUAGAUUAAGAAUGGGCAUUAGUAAAUAGGUUGCCCUUUUUGUAAACUUCUAAUUUUGGUACACUUGUCUUUUGGUAACAAGCUUCCAAUUCAUGUCCAUAAUGUUUGGUAGAAUUGGAAGUUUGGUUCUAAUUAGGUUACACGGUAUGGUAGUGGUUUAUGGGAAGCUUCGUAAAGUACAUUCCCCUUGUUGGGUUGUUAACUGACAUUGAUGUAUGGGAAGCUUUGUAAACGACAUGAUAUGACUGUUAAGUUAUCAAUAUAUAUGCCUUGAUCACUAUAUUUUUUGUUACCUUCCACGUUUUGGUUAGCUUGGUAAGUAGGUUAAUACAUAUAUAUGUGUUAAAGGACUUAAUUGUAAUUGUUGUCACCUUCCAUGAUUUGGUUAUUUUUAUACAUAUAUAUGUGUUAAAGGACUUAAUACAUUGUUAUCAUUAAGACAUAAUAAGUUGUUGUUAUUGUCAUCUCUUACAAAACCAAAAUAUUACCAUACAUAACAUAUGCAUCUACUUACUGCCUAACUUGACUAAAAUACCCUUCCACCUAAACUACUACUACUACCAUUCUACUUGAACCUAAAUAAUGCCCACAACUUCAUAAUGCUUUAACCACAACAUUGUGAGCCAUAAACCCCAUCACAAUCACCACCACCAAAAGUAUGACCAUCAUAACUAGCUCCACCUUCAACAAGUUUAAAAUAUCCACUUGAACUGCUUUGUUGUUCUUGGCCUCCUCUGAAAGCUUCAAAUCUCCAUUCCAAAUGCUUUAUUGUUCUUAGCCUCCUCCAAAUCCAUAUGGAACCUCCACAUAGUUUCCUUGUAGUAAGUGUUUGGCAGGGGUGGAUCAAGCCAUAAAAAAAAUUAGCAUUUUUUUGGAGUCCUGUACAGCAACCACUUCUUCAUACUGGUUCAACAACACCACAAAAAGUAGGAAAGUUAAUAUUACCUGAUAGUUUGGACACCCCCUAAAUUUCCUCCAUGGAUUAUCGACUGUUUUGGAGAUCGAGAAUGUCACAGGUUCAUCACAUUCGCAUCUCAAAUCUUCAGACCAAUGAUUCCUUAAGGCCCAAUCUCUGUACCCUUGUGUGUGCAUGUUGGAGGAGCUUACCAUCUUUUUGGUUUGAUGUUGGAGAGACGAAUCGACCCAAAACCUAGCUAACAACUACCUCCAACGUUCGACUAAGCUAUGCAACCUGCCGAAACCGGUGAAACCGGUAUUGUACCAUUUUGCCAUAAUUCCAUGAAAAUAUCGUGGUCACAGUAAAUGAAAAAUUAAAUUAAGGGCUUUUUCAAAUUUAGUGCAAAAAACAUGGGACUUUAUUGAUAUUAGUCCAUGGUGAUUAGAGGUUUUUUUUAAGGGAUAUGUGUGUUCCAAAUAUAAUCAUUAAGAUGUCUUAAUGAUGCAACACAAAUAAGUUAAAUUAUAUGUAGAUAUUAGAACAUUUAAAGAAUUCGAACAAUGUUAGAUUGAGAUGCAAGAGUAAAGUUUUUCAGAAAGAAAAUGACAUUCUGAUAAGAACUCAAGACUUUGCCUGAGCCCAUCAAAUAUUAGACGAAUUCUUCCAUCUUACAAUUUAUUAGUUUUUUCGAGAUUUUUUUGGUUAUUUUAGGUACUCGACAUUUUCGAAAUAUUUUAAUGUUUUACAAUUUAAGUGCUUGUGUGCUGUUUUUUUGAAGGAUAGUUUUUUAGAAUAAUUAAAAUUGAAGUUUCCUCAAGUCUAUCAAUCUUUGCUUUGGCAUUUUGCGAAAUCAAAGAAUUUUAAGUAUUAUCUUCAUGUUUGUCCAUACACACUGCGUCAAUGAAUAACUCUAUUUUUUAUUAAAAUUUUAUUAAAAGAUACUAUAUUUAUAGACAAAGUAAAUCUCAAUAUGUUAAAAUAAACAGGGUUGGUUAGCUGAUUUUAAAGGGUGGUUAGUUGAUUUUAAAGGGCUUGUGUGAAAAAUAAAAAUACUCUUAAAUAUAAUUUUUUAUAUAAAUAAAGACCAUUGAUAAAUUGAGUAUAAAAUUAAUCAAAACAAAAAUUAUCACAAUAAAAUAGGAUCUGCAAUAUACAUUUGCUUUUGUCAUCGAAUUAAACAUCUUGGAAAAAGCGAAUUCCUACAUCCCGCAUCCGCUUGAUGCCGUUUAAAAAAUAUCCGCUUGAUAAAUUAUAAAUAAUAAAAUAAGGAGACCAGAAAGAACUUAAAAUAUAAUUUUGGUGGAUAAUAUCUUUAAUACAAUAUCAUGCUUCUUAAUCAAUCCAUACGAAAUAUGUAUUUCCGAAAGGGCAACUCAGUUCCGACUGAGUCAACCCAACUAAAAUUGUUUGUCUUUUUUUUUAGUUCACAUAGAAUUGAAUAUACAAUAUUAUUUUCAAAUCUUUUAACUCCAUUAAUUUAUUAAUUUUAAAUUUGCCAAUUUUAUUCUUUUGUAGACACAAUUUAAAACUACAUAUGUAUUAUAUAAUAAAUUAUUUGAUACAUAACCAAACUCAUAAAGUUAAUAUUUUCAAACUGCAAUCGAUACUUUAGAAAUAUAAAAGCAUGCACCCAACACAAACAUAUAAAACCAUAUAUAAAGCAUACAACCAAAGCAUAUAUAUAAAACCAUAUUCCACAAAGAUGAGAAAUCGUGCAUAAAAAAUCAAUAUUGUUCAUCUCAUUCGCAUUUGAUACAUUUAGUUUCGUCGGGCCGGAUACGGUGGAGCUUCUUAUUAGAAUACAACGGGUCAUGCAUAUGAAUAUUAUAUCCCCUAAAUCUAUAAAUGUAGUCUUCAAAAUAAUUGGUUUUAUCAUAUAAAAAGAUUUAACGGCGUUACUUGUUACAUGUUUGCAUUCUCACUCCUUGUAUUUUGAAAUUUUAAUGUUCAAGAACAAGGACAAAUCUAUGGAUUUCUUGCAACAAACUAAAAACCCAAGAAAAAGGAGUGUAUGAUAACUUCUUUGAGAGAGUUGAUUUCUUCUUUCUUGGAUGAUGGAGAGCGCAAAUUAGAAUUUCGAUAAUGUGGUAAUUGAUUUUAAUAAGUAAAUAAUGGCCAAAGUAAAACAAAAUCAAAUUAUCAAAGAUUUUUCUUAUUUAUAAAAAAAAAAAAAAAAAAAAAAAAAAAAAAAAAAAAAAAAAAACACUUAAGAUAAAAAUUGAAUGAUGUAAAUUUGCCCUAAACCAAUUUUGCUAAUAAACUAUAGGGGUGUUCGCGGUGCGGUUUGGUACGGUUUAGAGUUGAAACCGCAAACCGCACCACAAAAGCUCUAAACCGCAUUAUGCGGUAUGGUUUCAUGCGGGCGGUUUAUGCGUUUUGAUAAGUUGUUUCAAUUUAUAACUUUGGUUGUUAUUAGUUACAUUUAAACACUGCCAAAAUUUAUUAAUUAUAUUGCAUACCAUUUAAAAUGCAUAGAUAUUGCAAACAAAAAAACCACAUAAUGUUCUGCUAAGUUGUUAUGACUUAUGAAAUUUGAUAUCCUAGUCUUUUAAGUCAUUAAUUAUCAUAUUUAACCAUUGUGAUAUAAAAUAAAGUUAUUGGACAGUAUGAAGUAUUUGGUGAUUGGAAACUUUGAUAUAUAUAUAUAUAUAUAUAUGCUAAUACGACAUGGUGCAGUUUGAACCGCGAUUUGGUAACUAUAAACUGCAAACCAAACCGCAUAGUGCGGUUUGACAAGAUUACGAACCGCAAACCGCAUCGCAAAAAUCUAAACCGCAUUAUGCGGUGCGGUUUAGUGCGGUGUGGGCGGUUUGUGCGAUUUAUGCAUUAACCGUCUCUAAUAAAACUAGGAUAUUAAAUAAACUGACCAUUAUAAAUGAAUUUUAUAAAUCAUAUAAUUCUAGAUUUGAUCUUCAAAUUUCAAAAUUCUUUUUUGUUUUUUUCCAAAAAAAUCUGUGUGUUUAUGUGUGAAAUGUUUAAUGUCAACAUUUUUCUAUCAAAUGAUUGGUUUAAUACUCUAAUAUCAUAUAUAUUAUAUAGUUUACAUUUACCAUGUUUGUUUAUCUUUUUAUUAUAUUUGAAAUGAUUGGUUUAAUACUCUAAUAUCAUAUAUAUUAUAUAGUUUACAUUUACUAUGUUUGUUUAUCUUUUUAUUAUAUUUAAGUAAAAAGUAAUUUUUUUUUUCAAAACUCCAGAAUUAUUUAUUAGUUUCGAACUUGUUUUUGAAACUGCGGGUCCGAAAUUCCAAAAUGUAUUUUUUUUCAAAAAAAAUAUUUUUUUAGUCCAGAAUGCUCAUUCCUUAGUCCUUGACUAAGUGACUAUUUUUGCCAAAAACAAAUUUUUUUUUAUUUUCUUCAAAUACACUAUGGUUAGAUUACUCAAUUUCCCAAUGAAAAAAAGACUUCCUCGGGUUAAUAACCCGACCCAUAGCCUAAUAAUCAGUCGUACUUUUCUUAACCAUAACCGGACUCUAUAUAACAAGGAUUUUUAAGAGGCCCAGGCCCAAUACAUAUAAAUGUUCAAAAUGUUAAUUACCAUCUUCCCAACACAAAUAGCCACUUAAAAUGUUGAUGAAUGCCUUUUUCUAACAAAAAAAUUCCAUCAAAUACUCUUUAAAAUCAUCAAAAUCCCCAUAUUCCAAACAUUUGAUAGAAAUGUUAUACACAAAAUGAACCAAACUCCAGUCAUCUAACUAACCUUUUUCCUCAUCAAUAAUCUCACUCACUAUUUUCAUCAUCAAGAAUCUGAAGAAACCCCAAAGCUGAAGAACCCAGAUGCAUUCCUCUAACAAUUCCACCAUAAUCACUCUUAAUCUUAUGGCAUAGAACCAAAACAGAGUCCCAAAGUGCUGUUCUUCCCUGCAAUUCAAACUCAACAAACUCAGCUUCUUACAAUCAUUCCAAAAUUCAAAUCCCAUUACUUUUAUUUCACAUACCUCAAAAGAGAGCUGUGGCUUUUUAUCCCAAUACAAUGCGAAAAUUGGAGGGCUUUUUUUGUCAAAAGCCAAUACACAACCUCCAGGAUGGAGCACAGAGGGUACCCCACAAAUCACCCCCAAAUACUUCUCAGGAAACCGUUCUUUUGACGGAAGUACCCCUAUAAAUAAAGGGUUUCUACUAGAUUGUGAUCCCACAUGUGAUGUGGGGUCCACGUGAAGCAUCCAUUUCGGGUGUUCCAAAAAAGCACAAAAUAGAUACAACAGUAAAUGAGAGUCACUAGGAACUUCACUCCAUUUUUUCUUAUUAAACUUCUCUCCAUUUGUUAUAUACUCAUAGUUCUUAACACACGUUCCUACACCAAGCUCUGCAAAAUAUCAACACAUAAAGAAUCUAUUUUUAAUAUUAUUUCGAUUAUAAAAAGCUAUCAAGAUUCAAGAAAAAAAGAAAUACUCAAAUACCUCGGAUUCUUUGUACAGUAUAAUCCGCCCGUAUACUGGUCUGAGGUAACAACCCCUUUGCCCAUUCCCCUUUCAUCAAAGCAAGAAGCUUUUGGUGUUCUGAUAUGGCAUCUAUACAAUCUUGUAUAACAGGGAUUGAAGUGUUCUGUAUUUGUUGUAGAAGAGUAGUGCGUAAUUGACCAAUAAGCCCUUCCUCAUCAAGGGUAUAUGCAGGCUGCCAUUCGUUGUUUCUUUCAUUUGAAACAGUUGCAGUAGCUCCUGUUGAUGAAUCACUUCCAAUUUUGCUAACUGUGAUUGUAAUACCGAUUUUAGCAGCAGCCUCCAUGACUUUUAUGUGACUGGUUUCGAUUUUUGCAAGAAGGGGAUUUAAGAGAACUGAAGAGAACCAUUGUCUUAAAUGGUCACGCCACUCUUCAAUCUGUGGGUAGAUGCCUAGGCGGGCAAAAGCGUCAAUUGACUCUUCCAUGGACAUGGGUGGAGGGAGGUCACCUUCACCUUUCUUUGGUGGGGUACUGAACUUUUGAGAACCAGGGGACAUGCGUACAGGUCUUAAAGGUGUGCUUCUUGUUGUGCUAUUGGAAUUAGGGCUAGAUAUAUUGAAUCCAGUUGUUGUGGGGGGUGGGGUGGUCAUUUUACCAGCUGACAUGGAGAAUUUUUCAUCAAAAUCUGCUAAGAAUGAUUCAAGUUGUUGUUCUGUUGAUAUUUCUCUGGUGGAAGAUGAUCGUUUGCUUGACCAUGGAGUGGAAACGUGUUGUUCAAUGCCAGGUGGCGUCUUCAUGUUUGGUGAUUGUGAGGGGAUGAGAUAGACUGAUGGUGAAACUGGUGGUUUAGAUGGAGUGCUGAAGGAAUGCAUCUUGUUUGCACUACUAGUGGUUGAUUUGUCAUUGUUUAUACGAGUUUGGUGAAGGGGGACAAGUGUGUUGAAAGGUGAUGUGUUAGGUUUAGAUUUGGGUGGAUCUUUUGAUGAUUUUGAUUCAGUCUGCUCAAACUGUGGCUUGAUUCCCAUCAGUUUUAGUUGCUGGCUAGUCAGAUUUAGCUGCUCUUUGGUGGGAUUAGAUGGAGAUGAAGGUGUAGCAGGUUUUGUUUUCCAUAAGGAGAUGGCUUUGAGAAGGGCAAAUAAGGAUCCAAUCAAAACCAGAGUCAUGAUAGCUUGCAUUACUUUUAGAAAGAUAUCUGUGCACAAACAGAAGAGAUUUAAGGGGAUAACACUUGGAAAGUUAGGAAGAAUUUAACAACAUGAAAUCGAAAUGAAUGAUAUUACUCACGAGCAACAUCUUGUGUGAGAUAUCUGAGCUUGGAACUGUCGACGAUGUCGUUUUCCCUUGAAUAGAACAGAGUAAAUAAUUUUGUUAGUCGCUCAUAGCAAAGAUGUAAGUGUUUCAGUAUUCAGAUCAUUUUUUACAAUAGAUAGAAACAAAACAACCAUUUGUUUAAACAAUGUUCACCUGAAUCCAACUUUUAAAAUUACAAUCUACGCAUCAAUUUAGAUGUACUAACAAUUCUCUAUAGAAACAAGCAUAUACAAAAAACACAUAUACCGACAAAUAAAUGAUUCAUUCAAAUACAAGUAUACGAAAUGCCAGAAACAGACUAUAAACGCAAUAUUUGUUAUAUCGAAUGCAAGCAGGAAAGAGACAUGGAACUUAUUGAAAUAGUGGAGAGAGCGAUGGAGAUAGAACUGGGGAUAUGUAUGGUACCUGAGGACGAAGGAGACCAGAGAGAAAGCAGAAGCGGAUGCGAGAGUGAGAAUGAAGAGGAAAGUAGACUUGGAGGGGCGGAGACUGUUUUUGGUUAGGGCGGCGGAGAGAGCUGGGUUCUGAUACACCGCGAACUUUGUAACGGGAUUAGAUGUGUCUUUUCUUCCUCCUCCCUCCAUAGGUAGAAGACUUCCUGUUAAUUUGCGAUUUGGUGCGAUAGGGUUUCUACUAUUCCGCCAUUGAUGAAAGCUUCGAGGUUCAAAUAGGGUGCUGCGAUGCAAACGUUUUAAAUUUGGGUUAAGCAAGUAUCAACUAGCAACAUCUCCGCAAACCCCAAGAAAACAACGGUACUUUUUUUUCUUCCUGAUGGUAAGAUUUUUGAUACAAGAGAUAAUAUUUAAGGGUUUUUGUUAUAGUGACUUAUCUAAUUUUUAUUUUAUGUUUUAAAAAUAUCAAUAUUGUUUUUUUUGGUUUUUAUGGAUCCUCAAACUCGAAAAUUACUUGUCUCUUAUACCUUUUACCCUAAAAUUUACACACAAUUGCUGGUUAUCCAUUAAGUUACUGCAUAGGUGGACAAUGUUGUCCACGUAGAUACACAGUUGGCAAGUGACAGAUCGGCUUCAUUAAUACGCUAUUUAGAGUGCCCUAGAUGAAGACAAGAUAUUCAAGAUCAUUUUCAGUUUAUAACAUUUACUUUUCAGGUCACGAAUCCUUAAGAAUCGAUUAGCUUCUCCUUCGAUGGCAUACUCAUCUAGAUCAUCAUCUGAUAACCACAUUGUUAUCGCUGCUAGGAAUCCUGACAACGACCUGUGCGUUUGUCGUCAUCCAAAGUUAAGCGUAGAAAUGAUGUCGAUGUCAGAUAAGAAUCCAGCUCGUAGAUUUCGCAACUGCGUUGACUCUUUGGUAAGCAUCAUCUUCUUUAAAUCUGUUGUCAAGAUUGUGGAAUUAGGGUUUAGCAAACAAUGGGGAUAAUUUUGAGUUUAGGGUUUACUGUUCUCGAUUAAGUGGAUAGUGGAACAAGCAUCUGGUGUGUGUGACUGAAUAUUUCGUUGGUAUGUUUGUUUGUAGGUGGAGAUGGCAGCUGAGAAGUGUAAAUACUUCAAGUGGAUCGAUGAUGAGCCGACACCACACUACAAGAAUGCUUUCAACAAUCUCAAGUAUGAGUUGAAACUAAUGAAAGACACUAGUUACGCUGCAAGACUAAAGAGAAUGGUAGCUUUGCUGGAGAACCUGAAUGUUGAAGCCAUUGCUGCUAAAAAAAUUGUUGAUGGUGAGCUAGUCAUGGUUGUUGAAGAAAAGAAACAACUGAGGGGUGAGUUGAAGUUCAUGAGGUUGAAGUUCAAGAUUGCUAUGAUAUUUCUUGUGCUUCUUGUUGUUGUGUUGAUGAUGCAGAAAGCAAAGGUGGUGGGAUAGAUAUGGUUGGGGCUAAGCGAUUGGGUGUAGUUAAUGGUUUUUGGUGGUAUAAAUGCUCUCCUUUUUUGUAAACUUGGGGUUUGGGAUAUGAAGAUCUUCUAUGGUUUUUGGUGGGUAGGAUACAGAUUAGUAUAUGUAUAGAUGUAAAUGCCCUUGUAUGGUAAAUGCCCCUGUAAUUUAAUCAACUUUUGUAUGCCCCAUGUACUUUUGUAUCUAAUGGAAACAUGCAUCUUUAUUUUACUAUAAUUUUGUUCCAUUGAUUGGUCUUGUUAAGUGCAAUUGAAUACUGAUAAAAGGCAUUGGUUAUUGUGGACCAAAACAAUUGAAUAUAAUACAUAUCACAUGGGUACAACAAACAAGUGAAAGUGAUUGAGUUUGUGGACCAAUACAGGUAAAAGACAUUGGGUAAAAUGAGGACCACACAUGGGAUCCACAUCCGGAUUAAAAUGACAACAUUUUGGGAGGAGUGUACAUUUGUGGACCCUUCAACUACAGAUUCCUGUAUAAGGUAAGAUGUCAAUAUUUGAGAUUUACAAAUUUGUUUUGCUAAAAUGACAACAUCAUUUCAAUAUACCUGUGUAGUCUUGGUUAUCUUUGGUCUUUUCACCCUGAGCUUAACUGGAUUAUUUGUUGUGGGGCAAGUAACCUUGGUGUGGCCAGGCAUAUGACAAGCACUACACAUAAUGGGUUUACCCUUUUUUGAUACCUUAUGCUUCCCUAUUUUCUCCGUCACAUCUCUCUUCCUUUUUGUUGCAGGUCUUCCAGGCAUCCUUCUUCUUUGGGGAGGUAAGGGUGGGGUGAAUGAUGUCUCUGGCCACAUGUUACUACCAUUCAUAGGCAAGAUAUUGUUCAAGUAUGUUAUAUUGUAGUUUGCUUUGUAGAAAAUAGGAUCCAUAUAUGUGUCCACAUCCCUAUUCAGAAAUAAGAUUGUAGCAACUGAAUGGGCACACCCAUAUCCAUUUAGUUGCCAUAACCUACAAGAGCAUGUCCUGUUGUCAAGAUCCACAUCAUAAUCUUGACCUUUAUUUCUUGUCUCAAACUUGUUUAGUCCACUUGGGAGCACUUUCCAGUACCUAGCUUCAAUCUUUAAACCAUUUAGUAACUGCCUUAUUGCAGGUGUUACAUCCUUUGUCCAUUUCCUAUGUUUUAAGCUAAACAUCCUCUCCAUGAUAUAUAACCUCAACUCCUCCAACAUAGUGAUUAUUGGUUUCCUUCUGGCCUCAACAAUUACUGCAUUAAAGCUCUUAGAAAUACCAUUUUCCACUGCAGCACAUGCCCUCCUGCCUCAUAAAAUGCUCUUCACCAGGUCUUUGGUUCCUUCUCCAUCGAGUACUUAUGGGCUUCCGGACUUAACCUUUAAAUUUUUUGCAUGAAUUCAUUGAAAGAUUGUGGUGUUGUUGCAUUACAAGCCUUCCAAAAAAAGGUUCUCAAAAAUAGCCCCUGCAAACAUCUUCUUAAAAUUUGCAACAAUGUGCCUUGCACAUUGUCGAUGCUCAACACAAGGAAACACAUCCUUAACUGCCUCCAUAAGAACCUUGUGUUGGUCAGACAUUAAGGUAAAUCCAGUGCCCAUACCUAGUUCAAGAUCAUAUCUGAGCAGCUCCAUAAACCACAUCUAGUUAUCCUUAUUCUCAACACACACUAUUGCCCAUGCAACUGGAAAUAUGUGGUUGUUAGCAUCUCUACCCACAGCACACAAUAAUUACCCAUUGCAUACACCCUUAAAGAAACAUCCAUCCAUACCUAACACCUUUCUACAACCUUCUAACCAACCAGAUUUCACAUUAGCAAAACAUACGUAGAACUCACUGAAGUAAAUCAAAGCAUCAGGCAUGAAUUGGACAUCCAUUUUGACUGUUGAACCUGGAUUGCUUCUUCUAAUUUCCUCCCCAUAAGACCACAAUUUUGCAUAAUGCUCAAAAAGAGUCCCCUCGAUAAGAUUCAUGGCAUGUGCCUCUGCUCUUCUGCAUUGACUUAAACUAGCUUGUAUUCCAAACUUCCUGAUGACCUCCAAUCUCAAUUGUCUAAUUGUUAACUUCUGUCUAUGCAAAAUUUCAUUUGUAUAAUGCUCUCCUAUCCAAGAGUAUGUGACAAUUGAUCCUAGUUUGUAGUUUCUAGCACAAUUAUGCUCAAUCUUCGAUGACUUGAUUUGAAAUGACACCUCCUGCCUCAUCCAUGUAGCCCAUAACCUGAAUGGGCAAGCUCCUUUGCAACACACCACCAACAACCUUUUACUAUCAUUCUUCUUGAAGCAUAGUUGGUAUCCAUUUGCCACAGCAUAGUUACAUAACAUAUUUUUCAGCUGCUUUGGACUUUCAAAUUUCAUCCCAAGAACAAGUACUUGCCUCUUCAAUUGCAUAUCAGGGUUGAAAAUGGAAAGGAUCUCAACAUCUUCUUCUUCAACUUCAUUGUCACCAGUAUCACCUUCUGGAGGACAUAACUUACUAAGAAACUUAUCCCCAGACGUCUUGUUCAAAGGUACUUUGUCAAUGUCAAUUACUUCAUCUUCAAGACCUACAUUGGGAUGAGUUUCAUCAAGGGCAGUGUUUUCUUCUUUUCUAGGUACACCAUCAUCUUCAAGGCCACUUUCAUUAUCUUCACUAACAACCAGAUUCAUGUCAUCAUCCCACCAUUCCUCCAACCCAUUCCCAUUAUGAUCAACAUAAACUAAAAUUUCCUCGUAUUCAUACCCGCUAUCUAUAAACCGGACAAAAUCCAAAUCAUCUACAAUGGGACGAAUCCGUCUAGAUAAAGGGAUGUUAGGUAAGCAGUAGUAGACGUUUUGAAACUCUUCCCCGAUAGCUCUAUCGAUAAAAUCAAAAAAUUCCCUUACAUCCAUACCUGCCCAAUCAACAUCAGCGAAGAGGAACUUAUUCCCACCAACAUACCCAGAAGGAUGUCGAACAAAUACACCAUUCUAGUGUAGAUGAACUCUCAGAUAUACAAGUACGUUAUCGUUCUCAGCCAUGCAACAGUGAAACAAUAUUCAAAGAGUAAAAUACCUUCGACAGUAGCAGUGUAAUCUCAGUAGUGGAUACGAUGGUAGCAGUGUAAUCUCAGUAGUGGAUACGAUGGUUAAAAACCCUAGUUCAAAUCUUCAUUCCUCUUCUUAUAAAACGACUAUGGAAAAUGAAUUAAGAUUAUUUACAAGUUUUUUCCACUGUGGAAUUACACAUUUGGCAAAAUUACUAAUUGACCACCUAAGUCAACGACCACAUCAACUUUUUAACCAGCUAAAUAAAUUACGAAAUCAAUAAGGGUAUAAGAGACAGGUAAUUUUCGUGUUUGAGGGUCCAUAAAGACCAAAAAAACAAUAUUGGUCUUUUAAAACCAGAAGUAAAAGUUAGAUGGGUUUCUAUGACAAAAAACCAUGUUUAAAAGGGUAAUUUAUUUAUUGUUUUAUACAUAUUUGGUCAUUAAUUUUUUCUCGUUCAUAUUUUUCCAUUAAAUUUGUUAUAUUGUAUACACUCCGUCCUUAUGACCGGUUGUUGAGGGUUUGGCCGGUUUCUAGUGUUCUUUGCACCUCCAGCGAAUUUUCGGUUGUCUUCUCUAGGCAAACAUGGAUUUUUCAACAAAGGUUUUAAGAUUUUAAAUUUGCAUGAGAAGUAUGGCAUUCAAUGAGUUCAGUUUUUGAUAUGCUAUUGUUCUGUGGUGAAGAAACAAAAAUCUCUAAAACGAAAUUUCAAGAUCUAGGUUCAAACCCCGUUAUGGAAACCCUCAAGUUCGUGUUCAAACAGAUCGAAGGUAUGUUUAUAUGUGUUCAUCGUGUGUGUAUGUAUUCAUCUUCUUCUGUGCUCGAAAUUAAAAACCACUAAAUCUAUUUCAACCUCUGAAAGUGAACUCGGAAUCUUGGGUUUUAGGUGGGUUUUGUUUAAUCAAUUUCUGAAAAAAUAACUUACCCAUAGGUCUGAGUUUGUGAGAUUUGUGAGCAUGUUUGGAAAGAAUUUGACUUUCAGUUGUAACAUCCUGAUGUCAAGUAAUUUCAAUUUCAACCAUAUGUUUGAAUAAUAUUGUGUUAUGACCCUUAGGUUUGAGGACGGUUGCUAGAUUGGUCCAAAGUGGCAAUAUAGUAAUUUUGACUAGGCUUUGUACGCCGAGCAUACGUUGUGUACGCUAUGCGUACUAAAGCACGCUACGCUAGUACAUUGGGCGUAUAACUUGUACGCGAGGCGUACGUGAAGAAAGUGCAAACCCUAAUUUUUAGGGUUUGGUCCAUAUAUAAACACCAUUAUAGCCUCACUUCUCAUUACUUCAUCAGCCUCCCUUUGUGAUAAACGACCCUAAACCAACCCUAAGUGUGAAAAGUGUAUUUUGAUCCCAUUGGAGUGUUUUAGAGGUGUUCUUGAAGAAGAAGAAGAACAUUGUGACAAGAGCUUGGAGCUUAAAAGCAUCUUGGAUCUGAGAUUACCUUCUUGUUAGCAACCUCCAGGAGGUAUAAAUUUCACAACUUAAUCACUCCAUCUUGGUAACAUCCCAAAAAUUUUGUUUUAAUUAAGUUAUUAUAAAACCAACAGUAUAAGAAAACAUCCAUAAUAGCAUAUCAUGUCAAAACCAGUACGUCAAUAAUCAAGACAUGUCGUCAUAAAAUCAUAUCAGAGUAUAAUCCCAAAGAUCUCUUGUGCGGAAAACAUAGUGUGAUGCGCUGUGAUCAAGCCGACUCCUUUCCUUUGAAAAUGAAGUACCUGAAACCAAAACCGAAAACCGUAAGCACGAAGCUUAGUGAGUUCCCCCAUCGUACCACAUACCAUACAUUCACAUAACAUACAUAUACUGUCAGGCAUAUCUGGGUUCCCGACCUGCCCCUUCGGUCCUCUCAACCGGAUAUUGCCUAGCAUACAUGGGUGCUAGCCUCCCCUUCGGUCCUCUCGACCGAAUACUAACUAGCAUAUAUGGGUGCUAGCCUCCCCUUCGGUCCUCUCGACCGGAUACUGACUAGCAUAUAUGGGUGCUAGUCUCCCAUUCGGUUCUCUCGACCGGAUACUAGGGACUAUUUCACCCCUACCACUACCACAUAAAACCCCAACAUAUAAACAUAAAUCACAUACUGCCUAGCAUAUCUGGGUGUUGGCCUACCCCUUCGGUCCUGUCGACCGAUAAAUGGGGGCUAUUUCACCCCCUACUACUACCACAUAAUAUCAUAUCACAUAUAUCAUAAUCUGGCUAGCAUGGUUGGGUACUAAACUACCCCUUCGGUCCUAUCGACCGGUAAUCGAGGACUAUUUCACCCCUACUACCACUAUCACAUAACAUCAUAACAUACUAGCACAUAAACAUAUCAAGUAGUAGCAAACCUAGAUGAAUACCACAAAGACAAUUAUCUAACAUAUAACUCCUACUGGUGGGCCGGCAUUGCGGCCGUAGACCCACCGCUACUGGAAGGUAACUCACCUAACACUGCUGAAGUCCGAGGCCCAAUCCAAAGGCCCAAAAGUCCAAUUAUGGCUCAAAGCCCAACAUAUGGCCCAAUUUUCCAAAUUGGGCCCACGCCUAUACAUGGUCUUAUUCUACGGCCCAACACCAUAUAAUCAUUAAGGCCCAAACUAUGGCCUAAUUUUCUAAAUUGGGCCCAACCCCUUACAUGGGCCUUACCCUAGGCCCAUUAAAUUAUUUUAGUCCAUAUGGUUAUUCUUGGAUGGCCCAUUAAUAAUCCAAUCAUCAAGGCCCAACAAUAAACCCAAGUGAAGUCAGGGUUUCACAGAAAAUGUCGAUUAGGGUUAAGUUUCCUACUCAACCCAUUAACGACUUAAUCCACUAAGGACUUAAUCCAUUAAGUCCAAUAUUGCUUAGAUUAAUUUCUGCCAAUUAUUAUUAUUUAAUAUUUAAAUUUAUUAAAUAAUUCUCGUAUGUGUCCCAAACAAUUCCCACAAUUAAGGUUUUACGCCCUUAGGGUUUUCCAACCUAAUACUAGCCCAUUAGUCCAUUGGUUGGGCUUUCAGGUCCCUNCCAUUAGGGUUUCAUUGAUUCCACAUUGUCCAAACAUCCCCCUAACGAGGUCCAAACGCAAUCAAGCACACCGCCACCUGACACGACGGCUGGUGGCGGCACGAGGCGGCAACCACCACCUAACGGCGGUGGUUUAAUUUUUCCGUUCAUUAUUCCAGUUUUUACAAUUACAAUGAACUCAUGAAAUAAACAUACACACACACACACUAUACUAAAUAAACAUACACGCGCAACCACCCUUGUGGUGGCCGGCGGUGGCACGCGGUGGCAGUGGCUAUUCCCGACUUUCCGGCUAGACAAAACGUACACAACACCCACAUAAAAGCAAAAUCAUACACCCACACAACUCAUAGCCACCUCCCACGAUGGCUGAUGGUGAAGAGCCAAGGCAGCGACGGAAAAAAGUAGAAGACCUAGCGGUAGGUGGUGGUAUUUGCGAUGACAACCACCAUGGCUGGCUGUCAUGGUGGUUCUCCAUGGCUUUUACUCGACAGAGGCCCAAACCUACGAACACAACACCUCGGGGUGGAAAACGAUGACCGGAGCGACAUACUUGAGCCAUACGGAGGUCGCGAUUGAGAAAUAGCACCAUGAGAAUGAUGAGGAGGAUGAAUGGAGGCCAUCGUGGACCGAAGCAACGUUAACCGCCGGCUAGCAGCGCUUUCGUCUUCAACUGAUGGAGCGUAACGGUGGCCCUUUAGUUUAAGUUUUACCCUUUUUCUUCAAGAUAUCAGAUAGUGAGAGAAAUANNNNNNNNNNNNNNNNNNNNNNNNNNNNNNNNNNNNNNNNNNNNNNNNNNNNNNNNNNNNNNNNNNNNNNNNNNNNNNNNNNNNNNNNNNNNNNNNNNNNNNNNNNNNNNNNNNNNNNNNNNNNNNNNNNNNNNNNNNNNNNNNNNNNNNNNNNNNNNNNNNNNNNNNNNNNNNNNNNNNNNNNNNNNNNNNNNNNNNNNNNNNNNNNNNNNNNNNNNNNNNNNNNNNNNNNNNNNNNNNNNNNNNNNNNNNNNNNNNNNNNNNNNNNNNNNNNNNACUAAGCCAUCUUCAUCAACAGCUCCGGGGAUGUACCUGUCUAAUGCUGACCUGAGAAUACAAGUUAUUUGAAAAGCGAGUAUCAGCAUUUUUACAAAUGCUGGUGAGUUCAUAAGCAUUUAGUGUCAUUUAGUCAAAUAACGUUAUGAAGUAAUAGUUUAAGUGUUUACAGUGCAUUAGAGUUCUUUCCAGAAAAUCCUAUAUUUUCUUUAAUAAAAGCAACCUUCUACCAAGACUGGUCAGUGUUAUGUGGUAAAAAGUAGUUUUCCCUAAGUUGCUAUCAUUAUCAAAGUACUGGAUUUGAUUAUUGAGGAAAGCAAACGACAUCAGGGAAUAUCAUAUGCCUCAGCAGUGAGGACUGCUGACUAAGGCCAGAAACCAUAGACUCCAGGAAAGUAUCAAACGAACGACACGCCUGGUUCAGUCUAACAAGUGGAGACACAGACCCCAGAAGGUACCAAAUGAAAGGUACAACUAGUAAGGUCUAACACAGUGAAUACAGACCGCAGACGAUAUUAAAUGAAAGAUAUGUCUAGCAAGGUCUAAAACAGUGAACACAGUGAAUACAGUGAAUACAGACCCCAGACAACAUCAAAUGAAAGAUACGUCUUGUAAGGUCAAAACAGAGGAGACAAACCCUAGACAAUAUCAAAUGAAAGAUACGUCUUGUAAGGUCAAAACAGUGUGACUCUGAGAAUGAGUUACCAGCAUACAGUGUAAAUUGCUGGCGAAGUACCGUUACCUUAAAGCCAUGAAUUAUAAGGUAACCCGGGAUACUCGUAACCAUACCGACUAGAGUUCCAGACGCCCUACAAGCGUCUAUAAGAUGUGACAUUUGUCACCCAUUGGCUUGGUAGGCCGGGACUGUAGCUAGCAGUCGGGGUGUGGGGUUGUCAAUCCCGUAUAGAUCUAUACACACAAUGUCCGCUCUCCCUACAGGAGACUCUGGUAACCAACUAGACGACGGAAAAGGCCGUGUCCUGAAGAUGCAUCCCAAAUAGUGGGUAGAGACUUCCAACUAGUGGGUUUCUAAUGUAAGUGGUGAACUAGAGGUAGAGACUCUUAACUGAAUUGACUGAAGUAAGCCCGUAUGUCUAUGUUUGUAUACAUAAUAUAUAAGUAAUGAAUUAAACGACCUUCGGAUGGAUAUCUGAUCCCACCAGACCACAUCUCAACGAAGAAAAGGAAAUAGGGCGGACGAGCCUUCCUAAGUCCUUCAUUCAUUAUCUAUAUGCAUCUAUACAAGCACAGACAUACAUCUAACCACGACUGAGUGUGUAUCAAGUAGAAUUGAUUCUUGUGAAGAAGGAGUGUCUAAUAAGUGAAGUAGGAGCAGUCGCAAGUAAAGUAGGAGUGUCGAACAAGUAUAAGCGUAUCAUGAAGUAGAGACGACAAUAAGUGAAGUAAGAGCAUAUCGAGUAUAAGUGAAGUAGAGUCGAUAUUAAGUAUAAGCGAAGUAGAAUCGUAUCACUAAGUAAGAGUGUGAAUAAGCAUGAACGUCCAUCAGGUAUAAGUGACUUCAAGUAUAAGUGAAAGCGUUACAGAGUAUGAGUAUAAGUUAAGUAUAAGCGAAGCAGCAGUAUUAAACAAGUAGAAGUAUAUGUCGAAAGAGGGAAGCUCUGAUGAAAAACCUUUAUGUCCGGAGAAAAUCACAAUUUGUAUUCUUUUGUAAAAUAUGUUUGAAAACCAUAGAAAAUCUUUCAUGAACUAGUUUGAAAUGAAACUUUGAUAAAACAGUAAAAGUAAGAACUUGAACAAGUGAAAAACCUUUUAGAAAACCAUUUAUAGUGUCCUACUCGGUAAAACAACAUACAAUGUGGUAAAAUCUUGUGCAUGCGGGUUAUCAAUCACAUGUGAUUGAUAUGAUAACUGGCAUGUUUAACUUGUAUUCCCCCCCUAUAAAACAUGUAAAAACAUUUAAAAGGUUCAUUCAGGGGUAUGAACUCACCUGGUGUAAGUAGGUCCGACGAAGGUGCCGUUUGGGCGUUCGGUGUCACGCAAGGACUUGAACACACACAAUGACCUAUUUAACAUAUGAUAACAUAUGUUCACAUACAAUUAGCAUAUUUAAUACUAAUUAAACAAAUAUACACGCUCACAGGAGCGGAAAACACUUUGGUUAAGCGUUUGGGUGUCCUGGGUAGCGUCUAAAGGUGCGUAUGGCUUAGGAAUGGAGUUUACUCUCCAAGAGUAAACCCCUAACACCAUGUUUAUGGCCCAGGGACUACUCACCAUGAUUUUACGGUCGUAAACUCAUGGUGAUGGGUUCUAGGGUGGUUUAAGGCUUCUACUUGCUCAUGGAAUUAUUCUAAGUACUUUUCCUAAAAGGCAUGAGUGGUUUUAAGGCUUCUAAGGGCUUUAUAUUGGAGUUUACGGCCUAGGAACAAAUCCUAAGGGAGUUUACGGUCGUAAACUCUCAUCCUUAGAGUUUUGUGAAGUUUAAAGCCCCUAAUACCUUGCUAGCAAUUUAUAAUGAAGUGUGAUGCUAUUUUGGGGGAUUAAAACUAUCAUUUAGAUGUGUUUUGGGGAGUUUACGGCCUAGACACUUGCUUGGGCCAUAAACUCCUUUUAAUCCCUCCAUUUCUUGUGUUUAAGCCCUUAAAUCCUUCCUAGCAUUUUAUAGAAAUAAUCUAAGGUCAUUUGGGGAACAAAAACCAACAUUUUGGCUUGAUUUGGGGAGUUUACGGCCUUGACACAUGUCUGGGCCGUAAAAUCCUAUUAAUCCACCAAUUCUUAAUGUUUAAGUGAUCUAAACCCAAGAGAAUAAGCCCCUAAUUUAUGUGUUAAGCCCUAGGGUGGUUUGGGAGUGUUUUGGAGGCAUUUUGACAUAGUUUAGAGGUGUUUACGGCCUAAGCAAGUGCUUGGGCCGUAAACUCUCUUUUAAGCCUCAAAAUGAUUGUUUUAGAUGUGCAAACACUCCUAGGCUAAUUCCUCUAUUUAUUUCCAAGUCAUUGGGGACAAGUUUGGGUCAUUUUGGCCUUAAAUAGGGUGUUUACGGCCUAAGGAGGAUCUUAGGCUGUGAACUCCUUUUCCAUUGCUUCUAAGUCCGAAUUUUGGGCCAUAAAUAUGAAUCAAUAUGUUUAAAAUAGGCUAGGGUAAGCGAACUUACAAUUUGGAAGCGUUUGGUUGCGGAUUCGGGGCGAAAACGGGUCUAGAGAGAGAGUAUAGAGAGAGAGUGUAAAAAGUCUCCAAUGGACUCCACUCACCCUUAUAUAGGGUUCCGAGUCGGGGCUCAGUGGAAUUUUACCCAAUACUGCCGUUAAACGGGGCUUUUGGUCGCACCUGAUUUAGUGGUCGUAACAAUAAAACUUAAGAUUUUCCAAAUAAAUGGAAAUGGGUGUUAUGUGUUUUAAUUUCUUUUUAUCACGACUUAACGACAUGUUAUAUGUAAACAAAUGGAAUGUUUAUUAAAUUGACGCCCUCUAAUUAACGGAACUUUUAUACAGUGAAAUAUUCCGUUAACGGUAACGGGGAAAUGUAACGGGACAACUUGGGUUGUCACACAAGCUCAUGGAGAUCAUAGGUAAGCAGCAUACCGACGAAGAGAAGAGGCGUGAGAGAGAAAGAGUGGAAAUGCUAGAAAUCCGACGACGGUGGAGCCGGGGAGGAGGUGAGCAGCCCACCGGUGGCAUUUUUCUUCCAUGAAGUUUUGUGACUACUUUUUUGACGGCUACAUUUUUUGGGGUUUACUUUAUUAUCCAAAACUCAAACAUUGAGUUGAAAAACUUGUAAAUUAAAUUAGAAUUUUGGUAUUUUUUUAUAGAUUUUAGCUAUAUAGUUUUCUAGUUUACUUUUUCUAAUCGAAGUUUGGCUGUUUUGAUUCUAUCAACGAUUUUCUAGUGUUUUUGUUAAUUUUUCAGCAAUUUUCUAAUUUUUUGUUAAUUGAUUAUUUAGUCUUUUACUUAAUCAGACAUAUAAACUACAUGUUNNNNNNNNNNNNNNNNNNNNNNNNNNNNNNNNNNNNNNNNNNNNNNNNNNNNNNNNNNNNNNNNNNNNNNNNNNNNNNNNNNNNNNNNNNNNNNNNNNNNNNNNNNNNNNNNNNNNNNNNNNNNNNNNNNNNNNNNNNNNNNNAUAUAUAUUAGCAAGCCUAAAACCGGGGGGGCCAUGGCCCUUCCUGACCCUCAAGAGGCUCCGCCAUUGCACUCUCCUCUUCCAUCCAUUUAUGGAGAUUUUGGUGCUUUGGAGAAGAAAAAUAUAUUAUUGGUGCUUAGAUCUAGCAAGCAAGUUCCCUCACCACCUUAAAGAUCAUACCUUAGACCAUGGUAAAUCCUCAAGUUCCAACCUUUCUGAAUUGUUCUUCGAAGAUCUAGACUUUUAUGCCCUUUUCUUCAUGUUGGAGGUGGUUUGAGUGGUUAGAUUUCAUAAUGUUGGCAACUUUAUGGAUCCAUGAGGUCCAUUUGAGGUUUGGUGUGCUAGAUCUACGAGUUGGUUGAGUUUUGGUCCCAUAAAUGAGAUUUGGAUCUCAUUUUCACCAUUUUGACCUAAUCAAGUUCAAGACAUGCACUUGACAUGCAUGUCAAUAAAAUAAAAUUUUUUAUGUUGCUUUUGAUGUAUGAAAGCCCUCUGGAAAGUUAGAAUGGAUGACUUAAUGGAUUAAGGACUUAAGACAUUAGGAUGUAACAUCAGGCGUGGCUUACGUCGUGACACAGGGAGUGUCACGACGUGAGAGUGGUUUUUAUGCGAAUGUUUCUACUGUCCGAGCUCACGACAUAACCAAGGAAGGUUCACGUCGUGAGGUUUGCUGAGUGGAUCAUCUGGGAUCAAUUUGACUGAGUUGAAGCGAGUUGAGCUGGAAUUUGGCCGAGUGCGUUCUCACGAUGUGACCAAGGACUAGUCACGACGUGAGUGUCAACUGAUGGAAAUGUUGACCGUUGACUUUGAGUGUUGACUUUUGGUGGAGUUGACUUUUGGUCAAAUUGCUAGUUUAGAAUGUGGACUAAUGGUUUACCUUGUGUGGUUUGUUAGGAGGUGUAUGACACUCGUUCGAUGGUUGUGUGUUGUGGAUUUUGUCGGCUAAGUGAGUUACCUUCACUGUAUCCAUGGUUCGAAGGCACCAAUGUUGGCCCAUUAGUUGAUGUUUAUAGUAAGAUGAUUGUCUUUGUGAUAAUUAUAUGGUAUGCUAGUAUUUGUUGAUGUUUAUGUGGUUAUUUGACUAUGAUAUUAUGUGGUAAUGGUAGUGGUAGGGGUGAAAUAGACUCGGUAUCCGGUGGAAAUAGACCGCAUGGGAUUACAAGCACUCAGAUAUGCUUGAUAGUAUUCAGUUGAAAUAGACCGAAGGGGAUUGCAAGCACCCAAAUAUGCUUGAUAUUAUCCGGUUUAAAUAGACCGAAGGGGAUUUCAAGCACCUAGAUAUGCGUGAUAGUAUCCGGUUGAAAUAGACCGAAAGGGGUAGGUGAGCACCCAAAUAUGCUUGGCAGUAUGCAUGUUUAGUAUGUGGUAUAUUGGGGAAGCUCAUUAAGCUUUGUGCUUACAAUUUUCAGUUUAUGUUUUCAGGUACUUCUGUUUUGAACGGGAAGAGUUCGGGAUGACUACAUUACACACACCACAUUGUUCUGUAUAUUACAUGACUCUGAUGCACUUGGAUGUUUAUUAUACACUCUAAUUCACUAUGGUUUUUAUGAUAUUGUUUUGGACAAUGGUUUUAUUAAUUUAUAAAUCAAAAUUUUUAGUCUAAAUUUUGGGGACGUUACAUUGGGGAAAAUAUUAUUAAUGGAUAAUGUUUUGACAUUUAGGAUUUAGGUUGAGCCGGUACUUUGGAGCAUAGUAUUGAUCAACUAUUUGGUAGAUUAUGAGGUGAGUUUUCCUCACUGUACUUACAGGUCAAAGGCACCAAGUCCAGCUCAUUGGAUUGAUAUUCUUUUAUACAUUGAUUUAUGAUAUGCUGAGAAUGGGAUAAAUCAGUAUGGUUAUAUGAUAGUUACGUGUAUGUGUAGACCGAUAGAUCUUUAGGACUAUCUGUGAUUUAUGGUUGCAUGAUUGUUUGUUUGUUGAAUAUGUUUGUUAUAUGUUAUAUAUCGACACAUUGUGGUGGGUUGAGACUUUACUACAUUGUGCGUGAGUCAACAGACCGGGGGUAUUCCAGUCUGAUGAUUGAGUGGACCCGAGGGUAUUCCAGUCCGAUAACGGAGUGGGCCCGAUUAUAUUGGUAUUCUAGUCCGAUGACUAAGUGGACUUGUUGUAUGUUGGCAUUCCGGUUCGACUAAUUGGGCCAGGGGUAAUCCAGACCGAUGGCUGUGGACCCGUGGGUAUUCCAGUCCGAUGACCGAUUGAACCUAACAUACUUGUUUGUAUAUGAUAUGUGUAUUGUGUGGUGGUACUUUGGGGGAACUCACUAAGUUUUGGCUUACAGUUUUUGGUUAUGGUUCCAGGUAUUUCAAAUGACCGUGACAAGGUGAAUGUGUGACCGUAUACAUCUUGAUUUUAUGUUGUUGAUCUUGAUAGACUCUGAUUUUAAAUAAUAUUUUUGGAAACAAUGGUUUUGUAAACCCUUUUAUUAGUAAAUAGUUGUUUUGAAAAGUUUAAAUUGAUUGUGAUUUUUGAGAUGUUACAUUAGGUGGGUUCGUUUGAAAUAAACUUGAAAUCUAGGUUUUUUUUUCUGAUGGGUUUGUUUGUUGUGUUCUUCAAAUCUUUGUUUGGUUCAUCAGAGUUUGUUCAUGGCGUUCUUGAGAGCUUCUUCAGAUUUGAGUGUAUGCGUGUGUUAUAUCAGAAAUUGAAAACCAUUACAACGAUUUCGUUUUUACUAGUUCUAUCACAACUGUUUUUGAAAAAACCAUCUGGUUCGAUCUGGUCUAAGAAAUAGUAUAAAAAAGAUUGUUACUAAACCACUCUCGUCCCUGAUCAACCAAUUAAAUUGAUAUAAAAGAAAUUGAUAAAUUAUGGUGUGAAACAAAAAUCACUAACACCGUUCAAUGAGUAAAGAUUAUACUCUCAAUAUCAAAUUGAGUUCAUCAACAAUCACAUGAAACAUGUGAAAGUACACGGUGAUUCUAUCAAAAACUUUUUAGUAGCAACAUCUUACAACACAUUACAUUUAUAUCAUUUGAAAAUGAACAAUUUAAAUGACUAUGCAUUUUAAUGUCAAUGCUACUUAUUCUCAGAGUACAAACAAACUUUGGGUGUUUAUCAUUUAACAGGNNNNNNNNNNNNNNNNNNNNNNNNNNNNNNNNNNNNNNNNNNNNNNNNUAUAUAGUUUGGUUCACAAUCAAACAUGGAGGCUUAAUUGAUAUUUGGAUACGUAAUUGUGUUUGUAAAUUUUUUUAACCUGGUUGAAGUUUUGUUGAACAUAUAUGUUUUAUUUUGCCAAAAUGUGUAGAUUUUAUUAGAACUUCACAUAAAGAUCAAGAAACAUGUGACAAAUCUUGUUAUUCUAAUCAUAAUUAAAGUACACUAAUAAUAUCGUAACGAUGUUAUCAAUUUUUUUCUCAUUUGUUUACAAUUAUACAAACAAGAGUAAAAUAUCAAAUAGUUAAAAUGAAUAAGUGAACCAAUAGUUUUAUUAUUUUAUGUUUAUUAAAUUACAUAUUAAAAUAUUGUUUUUUUUUGUUCCUACGGAAAUAGUAUCCCAACUUCCCAAGCCAACCGAAUACCAUCUUCCUCAGCGUUGCCCUGUUCUUUCUCCCCAUAUCAAGGCCAUAUCUUCCCCAACUCCAAUUUAUGAAAUAACUAUCAUCUCUUACAUCUUUCUCAAAUUUCUAUCACCAGAUGAUGGCGAUCAAAUAUGAUCACACUUUCCCAAUUUUGCCUAACAUCAAUCGAUUAAAAAAUUAUCCCAUGAUUCUCAUCCCUUUCCAUCAGACCUCCAAAUCCAUUAAUGGUGGAACAAUUACAAUCACCCGUCCAUCUCUAAUUUCUCUUUAUCGAUCCUUUUUUUGGGAUUUAGACCUGACAACAUUUCUCGAUUACUACGUAUGAAAUGAGUACAAGAUCAAGGAGCCCAAGCACCAUGGAAGAGAUCUUCAAGGGCAUUAUCACACUUCCUACUUACGGUAUAUCUAUUCUUCUUCGACAUUAUUUUGUUUGUAUAUUAUACAUGUUAUUAAUUCAUUUUCGUUGAUGGAACAUGGAUUAUACUCGAUCUAUAUCCACUUCUAUUUAAUUUAACUUUUUAAUACCUUCGUCAAACAUACUCCAAUUGAUUGAUUAAUUAUGUCAUGACAAUAUCUUGUGUUAAACUUGACGUGUUCCUUAGUUUAUCUUUAAAAAUUCAAUCAUGUAAAGUAUAAAUUAAUCUAACUAAUUUUAUAUAUAAGAAUAUAUGUUGCUAGGAGUCUAAAUUUUGUAUUUUAGUACUUAUCAAGGCUCUUGUAAAGUCAAUUAUCUACUCGGAUAUAUAUGAUUACUAGACUCAUGCAAUGUUAAUUUAAAAAAAGAAAAAAAUUAAAUAUAAAGGUCAAAAUAUUUGAGAACUUUGAAUUUAUAAGAAAAUAAGAAAAAUAAUGAAUUGCUAUAAUGAAAAUGUUUUUUAUCUUUUAAAUUUAAACAGGUAAUUUAAAUAAAAAAAAUAAACUAAUGAACUUUAAUUGUAGUAAUUUUGAAAUUAAAAGAUAAGUUUAUUAAUUAAAUUAAUAUUCAUUUAUUGCUAUAUUUAUUAUAGUUAUUAUAUUAAAAUAUGGGAAAUGAUUCGUACACAACAGUUUUUUGUCGUACACAACAAUUCAUGCAUUAUAUAGUUGUACAGUACAACAUUUUAAAGCACCAAUUGUUGUGUACGGAGAAAAAUUAUUGUGUACGAAUCAACUCCCUUAAAAUAUUAUGUGGAAUUUAAUAAAACAGAAAAGUACAUAUGGAAAUAAAUUUAAUUCAAAAUAACCACAAAAUGACAUUUGACAAAUUAAAUGAGAAUAUGACAAGUGACAAAAAAAAAAAAAAAAAAAAAAAAAAAAAAAAGAAAAAAAAAAAAAAAAAAAAAAAAAAAAAAAAAAAAAAAAAAAAAAAACUCUUAUUUAUUAGAAAAGAUAGUAAAGUAAUGUCAUGUGUGAAUGUAUGUAGUUAUAAAAGUAAUGGUAAUCAUAAUAAAAGAUGAGCGAAUAUAAAUGAUUAAUAAAACGUUUGUAUAUCAAAGUUUUAUAUGAAAAAACAAACCCUAUGAAUGUGAUAAACUUCUUUCAGGAUAAGAGAUGAAUGAAAACUAAUAAUAAAAGGUGAGUGAAUAUAGAUGAUUAAUAAAACUUUUAUAUAUUAAGACAAUAAAAGUUUUAUAUGAAAAAUAAAAGGUGAGAAUGUGAUAAACUUAUUUUAGAAUAAGAGAAAUGAAAACUAAGUUGUAUUUUCUGGAACAAAAAAAAAUCCUCUUUUAUUAUUUAAAUAUAGAAUCUUUUUUUUUUUUUCAGAGAAUAACUUUUUCAAAUCAUUUGUACUAUAUUACUUUCUUAAAUAGUCAUAAUCUACAAAAUAUUUAAAACACUAAUUUUAUCACAAUUUAGUCAACAUAAAUACAACAAAAUACUAUAUUUUAUAACUUGUUUUCACUACGAUUGAUUUAUGUAUUUAUUGUAUAAUCAUUUCAAAAUGUAAAUUACUAAAUCCACAUUUUCUAGCAUACAAUAAACCAUAUGUAUUUUAUUUUUGACAUGUGAGAUAUGAAGUUGCAACUUGCAAAUCACCUUGAUGCCCUACCGAGAGUAUCUACAAUAAAAAAUAAAAUUUUCAAUACCAUUUUUGAUGUAAUAUAACAUCACAUAAACAAACUAAUUUCAUGUUCUUGAGUUUUUUUUUUCAAGAAAAAAUUUGUUAUUGAGGUUUUUAAUGAAGGAAAUGAAGGAAAUAAUGGAAAGAAGGAAAUUGUAUCUUCUCUUCCUUUUUCUUCCGGUUGCCCAAAAAUAGAAGGAAAUAUUUCAUGAAAAAUAAGUAUAUUUGGAUGAAACUUAAAAAGUUUGUUAUCGAGGUUUUUAAUGAAGGAAAUGAAGGAAAUAAUGGAAAGAAGGAAAUUGUAUCUUCUCUUCCUUUUUCUUCCGGUUGCCCAAACAUAGAAGGAAAUAUUUCAUGAAAAAUAAGUAUAUUUGGAUGAAACUUAAGAAGACAUCUCCUUUCAUUUCAUUACUUAAAAAAACGAAAACAAAAUGUAAAAGACUUAACAAACAUCAACUAUAUAGAAUCAUUUUUACGGAGUUUAUUUAUGGUUUCGUCAAUAUCAAUUUAUAGAGUAAUGAAUAAAACACAAGAUUGACUGAUAACCCUUGUAGCAACAUAAACAAUACAAUGUGUGAUAUGUGCCUCGCAAUCCCACCCAAGUAAUCUUUGCAACCCCAUUACCUCUUUAUCCUAAUCGGAUCGAACAAAACCCUCAAAACAAAGCAAAACUCAUUUCACAAACUACAACCCUCAUUAUAAAGCACAAAACAUUCUCACAAAACACAAACCAUUUUCGCAAAGCACAAUCCUCAUCGCAAAGCAAAUACUAUUUUCACAGAGCUCGACCCUUAUUAGAAAUCACAACUCUCUUCACACCGCACAACCAUUUUCCACAAAACACGACCUCUUAUAACACAAUUCAGACCAUACAAAAACAUCCCACCUUCAACCCGAUAUAUAGUUAACCUCUACAACUAAUAACAACUCUAAGCAAGUAAAAUAGCAUCAGAAUGCUCCAUCAUUAUCAUAUAAAAGCACACAACAUAACAAUCCUAGUAAUAUAUAUAUAUAUAUAUAUAUAAACUCACAUGACCACAUAAAUACAAAUAGAUAAAAUUAGACUCGAAAUUAUUUGAUUUGAUAUGUGUGCACUGAAAACUAAUGUAUCACUUUCGACUUCAGAAUAACUUAUUCAACUCACCGCUUCAUAAUUCUUAAAUUAAUCAAGAGGAAUCGAGACAAAUUUUACAAUGUUUAUUCUCUUAUGAUCCAAGACCACAUGCUCUCUUCUUGAUCUAGAACCAUUGCUGUUAUGAAAUUUCUCUCUAAAUGAUUUUGUUCAUGUAUUGAUUGCCUAUCGCAUAUAUCCAUAAAUAUCAAGAUAAUGCCUUACGAAUCACAUAUAUACAUAUACAACUAGUAUUAUAUUUAUGAAAUAAAUAUUGAUAAUAUACUUUUUAUUACGAAGCAUGCAACAACAACAAUUAUAUCUAGCUUAUAUAAAACCAUGUUUUUUUUCCCACCAAUCACAAAGUCAUAUAUUUUAUAAUCGUUUAAUUACCUAGUCGAUCAAUUAUAGUCAAUCUAAUCUAAGUGCUAAAACCAUCUCAUCCAAGUUAUUAUUUCCAAUUAUUUGUUUUAAAAUGGUAAAUAUUUAUUUUAUAUUAGUAGUUAGGAAUAUUAAAUAUAAGAUACAUUGUGUAUUUAUAUUGCAUUUUAAUUGGGAAUAUAAAAUAUAAGAUACAUAUUGUAUGUUUUUAUACAUGUUAGAGCUCUUGUUUACACACAGCCCCACUUGAUACAAAAAUCCUAUUGUACUUAUACCCAUUAGGUCCUUCAUUCACAAUGGAUGAUUGUUAAUCAUUUAAACGGGUGUCAAUUAAUUAAAUGUUGCCUUAUAAUUUAUAAGGUUAAUUGUAUAUAUUUGUUGUUGAAACAUGCGGGGGCAAUGAAGACUCUGAGAAUGACCGUUGGAUUUUCACUUGUUUAAAAAAAAAAAAUCGUUAUAUUUUCUUGUAAUUUAGGAUUUUAGGUAAACGCCUAUAAUAAUAUACUAUUAUACCAUCCCUUAAAUUAAUCGAAAACAAACCCAUAGUUAUAUAUGUUCCCAUUGUUUACUCGUAUAUCCAACUUUAUAGCUCAAUUUCUUGCUUUUUGUGUAGGCUUUCCCACUNUCCCCCUUUUUGGGUUUUUUUUUUUUUUUUUUUUUUUUUUUUAAUAUUUUAAAAUUUAAACGAAUUGUUUUGUUAUGAAAGAUGUUUACGUUGUCAACAUUUUGAUAUUUAAUUUAACUUUUGUAAAAAAUCGAAUUGUUUAAUUAUAGAGACAAUGAUUUUACUGCUCGUUGACAAAUAUUUCUAUUAAUUUAAAUACGAUCUUUUGAAUAUUAUAAAAUAUGAUAGUUUACAUUAUUAUAAAAUAUGUUAGUUUACAUUAUUAUUGAUAAGGGGUUUACUAACUAUGCUCAGUUUAAAUAAUUAGAUAUAAAAGUAUUGGAUUCUAAACAUUGGUGGAGGGGAGCAAUUGGUUGGACAUAUUCUACAAUGGAGAAGGUAUCAAUUUCACAACAAUACCAUGUCUGUUGUUUUCUUUAUAAAUUUGCUGUUUAAUUUAAAGGAAAAUGACUCUUGAGGGUAAUUAACUUUUGCGUUUUUACUCAUUUGGUUUUUUUUUUUUUUUUUGUAUUCAAUAUACCAUCGAACUUGUUGUUGGUGUUUACCAUAGCCCUUUUGACCGGCUUUUGACCUGUGAUAGCCGGUCAAAGGGUUAUGGUGAACACAAACAACAAGUUCGAUGGUAUAUUGAGUACAAAAAAAGGGACCAAAUGAGAACAAACGCAACAGUUGGUUACCCUCCUGAUUCAUUUUCUUUUUACUCAUUUACAGCAAAUCACACGUCAUCUCUUACUGAAAUUAAUGACUAUGAGAUUCAUUAUUGCUUCUUUUCAAAACAUAACUCACGAAAGGACAUUAUUCAUGCAUGUACAACUUUGUAAUGCACUUGAAUAUUUAUUAGAGGAAUCUUGACUAAGCAGACGCAUUUCAUGACUACAUUUACAUUUGCAAUCAAAUGAUUUAUCGUAUCAUGGAUUCUAGACAAGUCUACAAACGAGUGGAAUCACAAGUGCUGUGAUUUUUGAGUUUACUUAGAUUUAAGAUCGAACUCAUUGGAUAAGAUACAUCAUCAAUAUGUACAAUAUCAUGCUGUUUUUGUAAACACAUCACCAUAAUAUUAUACAUAUUGAUGUUGUAUCUUAUCCCAUGAGUUCGAUCUUAAAGUUAAGUAAACUAAAAAAUCACAGCACUUGUGAAUCCACUCGUUUGUAGACUUGUAUAGAACCCAUGAUACGAUAAAUCAUUUGAUUGGAAAUGUAAUGUAGUCAUGAAAUGCGUCUGCUUAGUCAAGAUUUCCCUAAUAAAUAUUCAAGUGCAUUAUAAAGUUGUACAUGUGUGAAUAAUGUCCUUUGGUAGGUUAUGUUUUGAAGAUAAGCAAGAAUAAAUCUCAUAAAGUCAUUAAUAUCAAUAGGAGAUGAUGUGAGAUUUGUUGUAAAUAAAUAAAGGGAAAAUGAAUAAGGAGGGUAACCAACUGUUGCGUUUGUUCUCAUUUGGUCCCUUUUUUUUGUACUCAAUAUACCAUCGAACUUGUUGUUUGUGUUCACCAUAACCCUUUGACCGGCUAUCACAGAUCAAAAGCCGAUCAAAAGGGCUAUGGUAAACACCAACAACAAGUUCGAUGGUAUAUUGAAUACAAAAAAAAGGGACCAAAUGAGUACAAACGCAAAAGUUAAUUACCCUCAANNNNNNNNNNNNNNNNNNNNNNNNNNNNNNNNNNNNNNNNNNNNNNNNNNNNNNNNNNNNNNNNNNNNNNNNNNNNNNNNNNNNNNNNNNNNNNNNNNNNNNNNNNNNNNNNNNNNNNNNNNNNNNNNNNNNNNNNNNNNNNNNNNNNNNNNNNNNNNNNNNNNNNNNNNNNNNNNNNNNNNNNNNNNNNNNNNNNNNNNNNNNNNNNNNNNNNNNNNNNNNNNNNNNNNNNNNNNNNNNNNNNNNNNNNNNNNNNNNNNNNNNNNNNNNNNNNNNNNNNNNNNNNNNNNNNNNNNNNNNNNNNNNNNNNNNNNNNNNNNNNNNNNNNNNNNNNNNNNNNNNNNNNNNNNNNNNNNNNNNNNNNNNNNNNNNNNNNNNNNNNNNNNNNNNNNNNNNNNNNNNNNNNNNNNNNNNNNNNNNNNNNNNNNNNNNNNNNNNNNNNNNNNNNNNNNNNNNNNNNNNNNNNNNNNNNNNNNNNNNNNNNNNNNNNNNNNNNNNNNNNNNNNNNNNNNNNNNNNNNNNNNNNNNNNNNNNNNNNNNNNNNNNNNNNNNNNNNNNNNNNNNNNNNNNNNNNNNNNNNNNNNNNNNNNNNNNNNNNNNNNNNNNNNNNNNNNNNNNNNNNNNNNNNNNNNNNNNNNNNNNNNNNNNNNNNNNNNNNNNNNNNNNNNNNNNNNNNNNNNNNNNNNNNNNNNNNNNNNNNNNNNNNNNNNNNNNNNNNNNNNNNNNNNNNNNNNNNNNNNNNNNNNNNNNNNNNNNNNNNNNNNNNNNNNNNNNNNNNNNNNNNNNNNNNNNNNNNNNNNNNNNNNNNNNNNNNNNNNNNNNNNNNNNNNNNNNNNNNNNNNNNNNNNNNNNNNNNNNNNNNNNNNNNNNNNNNNNNNNNNNNNNNNNNNNNNNNNNNNNNNNNNNNNNNNNNNNNNNNNNNNNNNNNNNNNNNNNNNNNNNNNNNNNNNNNNNNNNNNNUAUAUAUAUAUAUAUAUAGUGUUCUAAUUAAAUCUACUUAUGAUUUUGGUAUUUAUAAAUUUCUAAAAAUAUUUUUACAUGAAGUAGUAAGGUAAAAUGGUCAUUUUCCAUCAAUCAACAUAUUCAUUCAGAUAUGCAAUCAAACAACAUGGUUUUUACUCAGUCAUGAUUUCAUACCUAGACAUAUUUUUCUAAGUCAGCAACUAUCAAACGGGACCUUAGUGUCGUUUGUGAUAUUUACCCAAUAAAUUAAUAUCUACAAAAUUCAUUGAGUUCUAAUGAUUUACUAACUAACUUAAACCAUGAAAAUAAGCUUGAAGAACUCCAUGAAGCCAUAAGUAAAUUUGAAAAGUUCCAUUAGAUCAAAUAGCAUAAGUACUAACAAAUGAUAGAUUUUUUUAGAUCAUGUAUGACUUAUAAAUAUCAAAUUAGGAGUGUUUGUGAUUGCUUAUUUAAAACAUCUUAUGCUUUUUUAGUAAAAUCUUUUAAAAGUAGACAAUUGCAAAAGAUCAAAUGUUAAACAUAAAUAAUCACUAAGUGUUUCUCUUAAAAAAAACAAGCAAAUUCUAAAGUGCAUUAUACACUACCAAUUUCCUUCGUAAGCUUCAAAUCGCCAUUGAUUAUCUUUCCUUCUGUCUUGGUAACCAUGUUUUCUACAACUUUUUAUCUUUAAUGGUUAGGUUCCGUUUGAUAAUUGUUGUAUGGGAAAAUGCGGUCUGAGAAAAUUUUAUGAUCGAGAAAGAAAUUAUGUUGUUUGAUUGUAUAUCUGACUGACUGUGUUGAAUGCUGAAAAAAUACCAUAUCACCAUUUUGUUCUAUACUGUGAUGGAUGAAGUUGGUGAAUAAUUAUAAAAACAUUCAAAUUGUCAUACAAAAUCAAAAUUACACGAUAACCAUUUAAAAAUCCAGAUACUAAUUCUCAUACAAAUUAAUUAAACAUAAAUCAAUUAAAAUCCAAAUAGAAGCAUACUAAAAUUGAAAAUAACAUACUAAUUUGCGCUUUUCAAACUUUAUAUUGUGCACAAAUACAACUCUAAAGUGAACCAAGUGAAAGCAGUUGAUUAGCAAUUUGCUCACGCAAAGUAGCUAUGUAUUCGACAACUUCUGAACCUCAUUCUAUGCUUUGUGUGUUUUCGCCUCAAUUCCUUCACCUUGCACACCAGGAUUAACCAUAACAUUCUCUUCAAAAUUUGCAAAUAAUUCAUCUUGGAUAUUGUAUCUCCGUAUAAAAUUAUGGACCGCGACACAAACAAUUACUAUGUUUGUUUGUAUCGGAAAAAUGAUAAGGAGCCAUUUGUUAUAAGAUUGAGAAUCUCACCUUCAAUAAACCUUAAGCACGCUUAAUAACAUUUCUAAAUUGUGCGUGAGCCCGCGAGCGCCAUUAACCCGCGAGUGUUGGUAUAUUCAGCGUCACAAAGGUAAUAUUUAUUUGUAUGUGAAUGACAUUUAUUAUAUAAAUAAUAUGGAUAAUAAAACUUAUAUAAAAAUCAUAAACCUGGUGGAGGGAAUGAAAAUCUGAAAGUCGGAUUGAAUACAACUUCUUUCAAAAUGCUUGAAUCAUGUGCUAUACCCAUACAAAGGUGAAUAUCAUAUUAAAAUAUCAAAUUCCUGAUAUAUUUUGAUGACGUUCACCAUUUUCUCUUCCCUUAUAUCGUGUUUGUUGAUCAACGAACACAACUACAUGUACAAGAGUUCUAUUUAAUACACACAUUGCUCUAAAAAAUAUGGCUUUAAACCGUCUAGGUUGUUUUGAGACAUGUCUUGUUGGAUUAGGAGUUGUUGGUACUCUAAUUUCUAUUGCAAAACACGUCAUUGCAGUUAGGACCUCGUAAAAUAUUGAUAAAUGAUUUGUGUGGAGUGAUGAAAUAUUCCUUUAACCGCUCGAAAAAUGUUUAUUAUGUCCCAUAGUAUGUAAAAAAUAGUCAUAUUCUCUUCAAUGCUUAUUAUCCUACUAGCUUGCAACCAACUUCUUUGCGUAAAGUAAUUGCAUAAUAAUACAAAUGUUUAUUGCGUAAGAUGCAUCAUAUCGUAACAUUGUAUAGGACAUUUGUGUAUCAAAUCUUGCGUAUACACAUACCCACUCGAAUUGUUAUCUCUUAUUCUACAAUCUUUUGUUUAGCCUUGUCCGAUUUAACCUCGAACAAUACAAACACGAGUACAAGAAAAGCUAAAGCUCAACAUUAGCAAUCAUAAUUGACAUAUAAAAAACAAUUACAUAUAACAUGUCAAAUGUAAAAUAAAUAACAACAAUUUUUUUUUAUCCAAUAACAAAAGUCAUGCACAAAAAAUGAUCCAAUAACAAAAGUUAUACAUAUAGAUGCCAUCAAACGUAACAUAACAAAAGUCAUACAAAAAGUCAUCAAACCUAACAUCCAAAAGUCAUGCAACAAAUAAUUAGUAAAAAUCAUCAAACGUAACAUUUAAAAGGUCACCGAAGGUAGCCAAACUUCAUUCCUGCACUCCUCACCCACGAGUCACAAAUAGUAGGCGUAAGUUGUAACCAAACUUUUUUCCUAACAUCGACACUUUCAACAAAUAGCAAGAGAGCGGUCUUGUGUCUUUCAUCUUCUUCUCCCCAUCCUAUUUUUGCCAAUUUAUCCAUACAUUCAUCAAUGUCCCUAUCCAUUUCACUUCUUUGAUUUUGUUCCACCAACGUCCUUGCAAACUUGAUGAUUUCCUCCUCAAAGGUGUACAUGCGUUCCGCAAAGGCGUACUCAUUUCUGCAAGCCCCUCUUUGCGGAAUUGUGUAAAAACAUUUUUUUCCGUCUUUUUCCUCACAUGUGUGAUUCCUCAAAGCAAUUUUCCAUUCUCAAAGUGUAAAGACUUUGCAGAGUCCCUCUUUAUAGAAGUUGUGGUCAUUUAAUAAAAUUAUGUUUUUUAUGGUCAUUUGCUACAAACACUAUUCCUUAUGGUCAUUUGAUGAAUUUUCUCCUAAAUUAAUUCCUAAUGGUUCAGUUUGAACCUUUAACAUGUCAAUGUCGAUAUAUCUAAUAAUUAUAAGUCAUAAGUCUCAAUUAUUAUUAUUUUUAUAUAUACAGGAGACUUUUUUCAUGGAUCAAUGUGGCAAGAAUGGAACCUCUUAUUGGCCCAAAACACAAAAAUACGACUGAGGUUUGAGGGCAUGAAUUGUUAUUAAUGAGACUUGACAAGGAUAAUAUCGUAAUUAAAUAACUCCUCUAUACCUAAAUCUAAUAAUAGUAAACCAAAAAGAGAUGGAGGCUGGCUAGGGCAUCACAAUAUGGAAUCCACGGCUGAUCCCAAACCCUCACCCGCACAACCGUCAGAUCACUUCAUCCAACGGCUCUAAAAAAACCCUAAUCUCAUACCUUCUUUACUCCACUUAUAAAAACUCUCUUUGCAGCACACUCCUUCCAUUCUUCAUUUUCCUCCAUCUAUUGAGAGAGCUAGUCUGCAGAUAAUUCAUUAAGGUCAGACCGAUUCUUCCGUUUUCUUUCCCUUAAAUCUAGUAGAUAUCGUCUGUAUGCUUCUUUGUUUAUUUAGAUCUGUUUUGAUUCUGAUCAAUUAGACCUGGUUUGUUGUCCGAUGAGCCUUUUUUCUUUACAUGUUUUUGCUCUUAAUUAUGUGUAUACGAAACAAACUCUUUGUUGAUUGAUUCGCUUGGAUCUUGUAUUUAAGUUUGAGUUUUCGAUUGAGUUAACACAACUGGUUUUGAUUUUACAACAAAACUACUUGUAUUUAUUAAUAAAUCCUUUAGGAUCUUUUAAUUACCGAUGGAUUUUGUAAUCUAUUGAUGAAUCCUCGUAGAAUUAUUUUAUUUUCCAUGUUUUAUCUUAUCAUGGUCUUGAGCUACUCGAUUUGAAAAGAAUUGUAACAGAUCUGUGAAGUUCAAAGCAGCUAAACAUCAAAUUUUACUCUACUUUCUAACCGAUGAAGUUGAAAUCGUAUUUCGAUCUUCUUAUUUCUGUUUUUUGAGUAAAUCGUUUUAUUUAUCGUCAACAUAAGUAAGUAUAUGCUGUUAUUGUUCCAAUUCAUUUUUAUAAACGUUUAUUGUCUCAACUCUUCGAUUUUGUUGUCUGAUGAAACACAUACAAAGUUACCCAUUAACCUUUACUAGUUAGAAACGUUUUUUGGUUUAGUCACAUCGAUUUGCUGUUUUCCUUGUGUGUUCUUUCUGCUAUCUGCUUCUUUUGAAUUUCUAAUUUCGUUGUGAGUUUCAAUUAACAGUUUGAUUUGUUGUAUCAGGAUGGGUAAGGAAAAGAUUCAUAUCAGCAUUGUCGUCAUCGGACAUGUCGACUCCGGCAAGUCAACAACCACUGGUCACUUGAUCUACAAGCUUGGAGGAAUCGACAAGCGUGUGAUCGAGAGGUUCGAGAAGGAAGCUGCUGAGAUGAACAAACGUUCUUUCAAAUACGCAUGGGUGCUCGACAAACUUAAGGCCGAGCGUGAACGUGGUAUUACCAUCGAUAUUGCCCUCUGGAAGUUUGAAACCACCAAGUACUACUGCACAGUCAUCGAUGCCCCCGGACAUCGUGAUUUCAUCAAGAACAUGAUUACUGGUACUUCCCAGGCCGAUUGUGCCGUUCUCAUCAUUGACUCCACCACUGGAGGUUUCGAAGCUGGUAUUUCCAAGGAUGGGCAGACCCGUGAGCACGCUCUUCUCGCUUUCACUCUUGGUGUGAAGCAAAUGAUCUGCUGUUGUAACAAGGUAAUGAAUUAAUAAUUAUUCUUGGUUGUUUUGUUAUUCAAUAUAUUUUUAUCUAUGAUGCUUACUGGUAUGAUGGUAUUUUUGUAGAUGGAUGCUACCACCCCUAAAUACUCCAAGGGUAGGUACGAGGAAAUCGUGAAGGAAGUGUCUUCAUACUUGAAGAAGGUCGGAUACAACCCAGACAAAAUCCCAUUCGUUCCAAUCUCUGGAUUCGAAGGUGACAACAUGAUUGAGAGGUCAACCAACCUUGACUGGUACAAGGGACCAACCCUUCUUGAAGCUCUUGACCAGAUCAACGAGCCAAAGAGACCCACAGACAAGCCACUCCGUCUACCACUUCAGGAUGUUUACAAGAUCGGUGGUAUUGGAACUGUGCCAGUGGGACGUGUUGAGACAGGUAUCAUCAAGCCUGGUAUGGUUGUGACCUUCGGACCAACAGGGUUGACCACUGAAGUCAAGUCUGUUGAGAUGCAUCAUGAAGCUUUGACCGAAGCUCUUCCUGGUGACAAUGUUGGGUUCAAUGUUAAGAAUGUUGCUGUGAAGGAUAUCAAGCGUGGGUAUGUUGCCUCAAACUCCAAGGAUGAUCCUGCUAAGGGUGCUGCCAGUUUCACUUCCCAGGUUAUCAUCAUGAACCACCCUGGUCAGAUCGGAAAUGGUUAUGCUCCAGUGUUGGAUUGCCACACUUCUCACAUUGCUGUUAAGUUCCAAGAGCUGUUGACCAAGAUUGACAGACGAUCAGGAAAGGAGCUUGAGAAGGAGCCCAAGUUUUUGAAGAAUGGUGAUGCAGGUAUGGUUAAGAUGAUGCCGACCAAGCCUAUGGUGGUGGAGACUUUCGCAGAGUACCCACCUCUUGGAAGGUUUGCUGUGAGGGACAUGCGUCAGACUGUUGCUGUUGGUGUGAUCAAGAGUGUUGACAAGAAGGACCCGACUGGAGCUAAGGUGACCAAGGCCGCAGCCAAGAAGGGUGUCAAGUGAUAUGAUAGGUGUUGUGUUUUGGUGAUCGAGUCUUUUUAUUUUCUGUCUGUUUGGAUUACUAGUUUUGGACAAUCUUAUAUUUUGUUGAAGAGUUUUUGGUAUUGGAUCUGGGAAGUUUCGUUAUGUUGGAAAC
rnacentral:lncRNA from 1 species